rnacentral:lncRNA from 1 species
UUUUUUUUUUUUUUUUGCCUAAAUUCAGUGUUUGAAUUGACCAAUGUCAAUAUCCAAAUUCAAUAUAAAUGGUUGCAACUUUGUUGAUGCUAAGAUAAUCUAACCCACCAAGAAUACUAAUAUGGAGCUACCAAAAGCAAUACUAGAGACCACAUCCCAUGUCUUUAGGCAAAUCUGAUUGCAGUUUUUAUAUCCCAACAUUCUUUUUUACACAAUUGGCAUAAUAAUGUAAUCUUGCUCAAUCCAUGUUCCCUUUUUAGCUAUCACUUUUUAUUUUUUUGUUUGUACUCUGUAUCACCGUCAUCCUUUUCACAUUCAUUUAGUUUGACAACAAAUCUAAUCUGACAACUUGUCAUUUCGCAAUUUCAAUUCAAUAAUACUUAUUAAAAAAGUAAAACAAAAAGGGAGAGAGGAUCUAUUUUUAUAAUAAUGAGAAUUCGAGACGUAUUAGAUGAUUGUGUCGAGAGCAUUUGCGAGGAGAAAAAAGGUAGGGGAGAGAGUCAGAGAGAGAGAGAGAGAAUAAGAGUUUAUUUUGUGUGGUAGCCAUUGUUAAAAUAAAAUACUAGUUGGAGUUGUAGAGUUUUUUUUAAAGAAUUAUUUAUAAGUGAAGGAUAUUAUAGCCAUUUUACUACAUGAAGGGAGGUUAGUGUGAUUAUUCAAACCUAAAUGGAGAUGAGCAAAAUUGUCAGAAAGAUUAGGGGAGGUUUUGGAAUUAUCCCUUCUAAUUUAAUUAAGAAGUUGAUAUGGUUAGGUUUUAAAAACAUCUUUGGGUGAGUAUUUCCUUAGUCCUAAAAUUUUUAUCAGAAGAAUUAUUUAGUCUCCAAGCUUUUACUUUAUUUUAAUUAUUAAUUCUUUCAAUUUCAAUGGAUUUUGGUCCCCAAAGUUUUGUCCAAGUUCAAAUUACAAGUCCUUUUCAUGGAAACUCAAAUUUUGUACGAGUCAUUAGCUGGUGUAAUACUUUUGUAAGAAGCAUUCUAUACUAAUUAGUUACUAUGGAAUCUAUUAAGUAUUUUACAACUAUCAUAUAGUGAGUCUGUUUUAGUAAAAAAAUAUCUACUUUGUUGAAGGAAUGUAAUUAGCUGCGCAUGGAUCAAACUACUGUCAGAAAACAUCUUUAAUUCUGCUUGGUUGACCUAUUUUAUUUGCCAGAAAAGUAUAAGCUUUAAAUUGAUUAGAUAAUCAGAUUUUUUAGGCUAAAAGAAGGAAAUGAAAAGUUGAGGGAACAGAUAACGUUUAAGGUCGUUUGAUAUACUGAGAAAACACCAUUUGUGAAAAAGAUUUUAUUUGAAGAUGAUUAUCGUUCAAAAGGCUUUAGCAUUUUAGUAUCAAGCAGAGUAGGUAAUUACAUAACUUUUAAAAUAUAAGACUGGGAAGAAUUUUAGUUUUAAAUGGCGCAGCUUGGCUAGAUUUGUUGAUCAUUAACUAUUUCUAAAAGGACGACAACUUCAGAGAUUACUGCUUCAACUAAAUUUUUUUUUAAGAGAUUGAAGAGAACAAAAUGUAUGGUUGAUUCAUGUGGCUAUUCAAUUUUAGAUUAAUCUUUUAUUUUUAUGCUAUCUACCAUGAAGAUUUGUUUAUAUCAUGAUCCAGUUUAAUCAUUACGUGAGACUGAAGAUUACCUAAAAUCUAAAAUCACAAAUUUUGUGGCCUAGAUUUAUUUUAACUGAAACAUUGGGGGACCAAUUUGACACAUAAACCAAAUAUUAAGCACCAAAACUUCAUUUCACCCACAAAAAAAUUCUCUACAUUAACAGUACGAGGAGACACCUUUAAAGGUUGAAAUUGAUUAGCAGGGGCAGUUAUUAUUCAUCUAUAGUGGCCCUUAAACUAUUGAGAAACAGACGAAAUAAAUACAAAGAGACAUAAAAGCUUUGAAACUGCUAUUUAGGUUGGAUAAUAAAAACAAAGAGAAAUAAAAGAUUUGACCAAAGAAGACACAAGAAAAUACGAAAUUGAAAAAAAAAACUUCAUCCAAGUUAGAAAUUUCAGACUAAGUUGGUGAAAGCAUUUGGAUAAAUAUUUUUUGACUUGAAGAUUUUCGUCCAUUUCGCCCCUUUCGUGUGGCACUUGUUUUGAAGAUUCUUCCAUGCAAAGCUUUAUGCUUUUCUCUUACUCUGCGUAAUAUAUAGGAUGAAUUCUCGUAUUCUAUCAUCUACGGAUUGAUUGAUAAUAGAUUUGACGUUAACUGGAACAAAUGUAGGAGGUGUUGUUGAUGAUUAUAUUACCAGUACAUUUGUGUUUCAAGAUCUUGAUUACAGAUGAGUAUGACAUAUUAAUAGCUUAUAUCAAUUUUCAUUGUAUAUGGUAUUUAAAUGACUAGCACUUAUUCUUGAUGGUGUGCUAUAACAUUUGAAUAAUGGUUAAUUAAUGAGUACCUUAUGUACACUCGUUGAAAGGGGUUCUAUGUACACUCGUUAGAAUGUGUUUGGGUAGAGUAUUAUUUAAAAUAUUAUUUAGAAAAGUGACUGUAGCACCUUUUGUAAUAUAAUGUACGUGAUAUAAAAAUGUGAAUUGAAAAAUAUAUUUAUGAUGUACAUGAAAUAUUAUUUAGAAUAACUUAGUUAUCCAAACACAUCAUUUUUAGAAAAGUAUAAUUAAUUGAGAAAGUGUCAAGUGUAGGGAAUGCAAUAAUUGUAAUAUUUUAUAUCCAUAUAUUAAGUUAUGUCUGAUUCAAGCACCCAUUAGAAAUAUCCUUUUUAAGAAAUGUUGGUUAUGCAAAUCUUAUUACAAGCAUGCUUCAAGUUAAUUUAAACAGACUACGAAGGCUUGGAGAAUGAAUGGGUGAGAAACUUGGACUGAGUUUGUUUGGAUUAGUCUUUUGGAAAAGUUUGUUAUCUUUUUUAUUUUUGUUAUCCUUUCAAUUUUAGAUAUAUCAUAUUGUAAAAAGUGUUACAGUAAUAUAUAUAUAACUACUUUUACAAAAAUGUUUUCAUAACCCUAUCUCGAUUUCAAGAAAGAGGGAUCUUUUCAAUGAUGAUGUCCUUGGUCCAUAGAAAAAAUAAAGAAAAAUUUUGCACUCAUAUUAGAGAAAGGAGAAUUAUAAUGGCACUACCCUUUUUAUUGCUGACGCUCCCAAUGGCCCAUCUUUCUUAUUAUAGGAGAUUAUAAUGCCCUUUUUUAUUUUUAUUUUUUUCCUUUUCCAUGUCGGUAGAUUGGCCUCCCUAAAACAAAACUUUACAGACUGGAGCAACAAUGUAUCCUAUUCAAACACAGCCGCUUUAUUUUCUUCUUUUCUACAAAAAAAAAAAAAGAAGAAAAAUAACUAAGGCUUUCCAAAUCGACCAUGGAAGACAAAUUCUCUAGUAGAAAAAUAUUGAUAAAUUAAGAUCUAAUUAAGUCCAACAAUAUCGGUGAAAUUCAUUUUUUUUUGUAUCAAAACUUGGAUUCCUCAAAGUCUACUUGUGAUUGGUAUGUAUUAUGAAAUUUCUAUGGGGGUGUACAUUUUUGUAGUUCAAGUGAGUUGUAUAUUUAGUAGUUAAUUUUGUAUUUCUUCAAAGAUCUAAUAUUAUUCCCUUUUUUUUCUACGUGGUCUAGUACUAAUGCUCAUAAAAAAGUUAAAUCUUUGAAAGAGCAAUAAUUUGUUGGCCAUGUUUAAGCAACUGUAUUUAAUUGAUGUGUGAUAUUAACAAAUAAGGGAGUGCCAUUAAAGUUUCUGAUUUCAUAAUCUUAACGUUACUUUCUACAGCUUCUCUUAUCUAGCAUUCAUUAGAACACGAUGUUUUAGACAUCCUUCUACAUGCCAUGAUCCAUAGUUGGGGUUUCGUAUCAAUUGCUACCUUCCCUACCAACAUGAUUACACACCAUGAAUAAAAAUCAGUAGAUAUUUUGUCAAAAAAAAUGGAGCAUCCUUUAAUUGGCUUCUUCGAAUCCAUGAUCUUCAGAGAAACUUUUCUAUUAUAAGCACAUCACCAAUAUUCAUAUCUCAAAUGUUGGUUUCUACAGCUUGAAUUAAUUACUUGACCAUGACAAUAUUGCACCUUUAUUGGAGGGUUUAAAAGGGAAGAGAUGACUUGGAGGAGAAUUGGGGUCUUUUGAUUGUAAGGCUUUGAGAUAGGGUUAAUUACACUUACACCCCUGAAAUGGAUAAUAAUUUUACUUUGCCCAAAUGAAUCUAAAAAAUGGCCAUUAUGGCUAUCAAUUUUUUUUUUAAAUUUAAGUGGGAUGUCUUGAAUUUAGAAUCUCUUACUUAUAAUUUCUCCAUUUUUGUCACCCGAUACAACUCUUCCCUUCCCGAACCAUCAAUGUAUUUGAAAGACUAAACAGUAAGACAAUAGUUAGGUCACAUAAAUGAUUGAAAGCCAAUUACUUAAUCAAAAUUUGCUUCUAAUGAAAAGUGUAAAUCGAGUUUAUGUUGCUUUAAAGGGGAAUCUAGGAAAAUAUUGAAUUCAAAUAACAAACUGAAAUAUUUUGAAAAAGAUUAAAUGGUAGAGUAGUUUUUAUUUUAAUCUUUUGCCACCACUCUCACUAUAUUAAUUACAUUGUUGUAUCAGUAAUCCAAGUGCACAUUCCUCAUUCAAAACCCACGUGAAAAUAUUCAUUAAAUUAUAGGCUUUUAGUCAAUACCUAAUCAACGCGUAAAUUUUCUUUCUUCUUCCUCUUUUUCUUUUUUUUUUAAGCAUUUCAUUUUUCUAGAUUUUGUUUUUACCCAAUAGAUCAAAAAUUUCUUUUUCCUUCCUUUUUUAAAAAGAUCAACAUGGAAAUUUUUGCUUUAGUUUUUGUGUUUCGUUCUGAAGCAAAUCAUUGUAGAAUUUUUUGGCGUUUGAUAGCUGUGGAAGUGUAAGAUAGACAAAAUUAAGUGCACAAGGUCUAAUGUAAAGAAUAAAAAGCCUUCACUGUUGAGUUUUAAUAGCGAAUGUUGUGACAAUCAUCAGCUUUAGAAUUUAUUGAAUGAAUCUAUUUCUUUCUUGAAAUUGACAAUUUUUUUUUGGACUAUUACUUUAAAUCGACAUGUUCAAUUUCAUUUAAUUUCUGAGAAAUAUUGACCACAUAGCCCUCUAACCACUUUUGCCUAUUAUUUUUCUAAUUUAAUUCAAAACUUGAUAUAUUUUAGGGUCUUGAAAUCAUUUUGGGUGAAUAAUUUCCUUAGUACUCCUGAAGCAUUUAUAAAAUAAGAAAAUUAUCUAGUCUCUAAGUUUUUAGUUUAACUUUUUUCUUUCUUGAUGGUUUCAAUUCAAAUUGAUUUUGGUCCAUAAGUUUUGUCAAGGAUCAAAUCACAAGUCCUUUUGAUGGAAACUCAAGUUUUUGUACGAGUCCUAUGCUAGUAUAAGAAUUUCGUAAGAAAUUAGUCUCUACUAAGUUACUAUGAAGUUCGUCAAGUAAUUUUAACUAUCAUAUAGUUAGAGAUGGAUUAGUAAGGGGAUAUUAGGAUUCAUCUUUGGUGGCUCUUAAACUAUUGUAAAACAAACAAAAGAAAUACAAAAAAAAAAAGAAAUACAACUGUUAUCCUUUUUUUUUUAUAAUAUAGAACUGCUAUCUAAGUUGGGUAAUAAAAAGCAAUAUGAGCCUAAAAUGUUGCUUCUGCAAUAAGCUGACCAAAAAAGACAAGAAAACAACAAAUUGGAAAAAAUAAAAGAAGAUUAUCAAUGUUAGAAAUUUCAUACUUAGUUGGUUAAAACAUUUUAACAAAUAUUUUUUAUUUGACUUGAAGAUGCUCUUUCGUAUCACGCUUUCGUGUGGCAAUUACCAGACUAAAACGGUUACCGUUUUCUUUUUAUAAAGCAUUGAUUUGAUUAGUCAACUCCUGAAAUGGACAAAUGAUUGCCGUUUUCUUUUUAUAAAGCUUUGAUUUGAUUAGUCUAGUCCUGAAUUGGCCAAAUGAGAAACUUCUAUUAUCAGCUACUCUCAAAAUUUCUUCCUUUGUUCACUACCUAAUCCAUUUUGGUAUUUCGAACCGUGUGAUAAAUUAAGACAAGUCAAGCCACCCAUAUAGACUGAUAGCAUGAAAGCAUGUGUACGAAUCCUUUGGACUUUUUGAUUGUUUUCACUGCAUGCUUGACCGAGUAUACUCAGAAUUUGUGCACUUGUUUAAAGUCUAGGUGCAUAUGUUACUCUAACAUUAUUAGAUAUACAAUGAGGGAACCUUGGCCGACACCUCGGCUGCAUCCGAGUUCUCUCAAACCCGACAUUGCCCCCGAGUUCUCUCAAAAUCAAAAUCACCAGAUGAUUCCUGAGAAGAACUCGGGAAGGAAUACCCUAUUCAUUUGAUUAAUGUGACUUGUGCCGCCUAAUGCUGUACUGUGACAGGCCUACGGCUAACAUUGCUGAGCAACUUCUACCAGUGAGAUUAGCCUACGGACCCGAUUUCUCAUGAUUCUCGCCCUUCACCACUAGUAUAAAUACCUUCCAUCCCUCCCAUGAACGAGAUAACGACUACUACUUCCGCUUCUCUGAAUACCUUGGCCUCUCGUCAUCCUUGCUUAUUUAGGCAUCCGAGAUGCGUUGGGGGAUAGUCUUGCUCUGUGUGUAAGACGUACCUCUUUUAGAGGCAAAUUAUGACCCACAUGAUUGAUUAAUAUUCUAAUUAAUUGAUUAACAAUUAAUUGGUAUCUCCCAUUAGGCAAUGAUUGGUGAUUGGUAUCCUGAUUAAUUGAUUGACAUUUUGUCAAUAAUUAAUUAGUAUAUUCCAUUUGUUAGUGAUUGUGUGACGCCCCGAAAAGAAUGAGAGUGAGAACCCGGAAAUUUUCUAAUUUUCUAGGGUUUAUUUUUUUUAUCGCCCGCCUUUUCUACAUUUUCUUGAUUAGAAAAAUUUCCCAAAUAAAGUUUAUGAGCAAAGAUAGUUUUAAAAUGAUUUUUCUAAUAUCGGUUAGUUUUUGAGAAAUUAAGAGCGUAUUUUGAACGUGGGACCCGCUACUGCGGUAAAUGCAUUAUAUUUUUGACAACUUGUAGGAAUUUUGUAUUGAGUGAUAUUAUUGUACAAGGUGUUAAGAUAUUUGUCUUGGAGAGACAAGAAGAUAAUCUCAAGCUUAAAGGGUGACAAGUGUCACCUUGUUAUUGAAGGUUGGACUUUGACAUUUGACCAUCUUACUACCUUUACCAAAUAAGUACCAAAUUGAUCCAAAAUUACCUUCAUUCUUCAUCAUCUUGGCUGAGCUGCACAAGGAGAAAAGAAAGGAAAGCUUUCAUCUUACUUCUUCAUUUCUUGCUCCAAUCAAACAAUUUAACUGAUUAAACUUGGAUUUGCUCCAUAAAAACCUUUCUCUUGGUAGUAUUAAGGCGUGUAGUGAAGUGGUUUGAGAAGCAAAAGUGCUAAGUUGGGUCUUUUCUUGGGUUUGUAAGGUAAGUGACUAAGGAACCUUUCCUUUGAUCUUGAUAAUGUUCAAUUAGUGAUUGGUGGUGGUUGAAUAAGUGAUUUUAUGGUUGAUUUCCUGAUUUUGGUUGAAAAUGAUGAAGUUUUAUUAUUUUUGGGGAUUUUUCUGUUUUCAUAUGGAUAUGAUUAUAGGGUCAUGUAUGAUGAUUGGAAAUGAUGUUUAAUGACUCUAGGAGGUGGAAAAAGUGAUUAAUUGCAAUCAAUUUCUGUUAAGUGGAAAACUAGGUUUCAAUGUUCUUUAUUCUGUCCGAAUUUAUAGCUCAUAGAUAGAGGCCGAAUUGGCCUUGGCUUAAAACAUGAAAGUUGUAGGGAAUGACAUUUUAAAGGUGCCUACAAAAUUUCAGGUCAAUCGGAGUAGUGUGGAAUGAGAAAAGUGGAAAUUACUAUUGCUGAUCUGGUUUUACCCGAAAUUGAGAAGUGCGCCUGUAAUUGGUUGUUUUGGCUGGAAUUGCUUCCGAAUUGGUUGUUGAGGCCUUCUGAUGAAAUUUAUCCCUGUUUCUUAGCUUUCAUCUGGUUUUGGAAUUUCUGGAUUUGGACUUGUAGAGCCUGAGUUAUGAUGUUUCCGCUAGAAUACGUUUUGGUGAAUCUGUUUUACAUUUUUGAUGUGGUAUCUUGCAUUUUUGACCUGUUUGCACUCGAAACUGGGUUGAGUGACCUUCUGCAAUAUUGUACCCCUAUCUCUUAGCUUCGAAACGGUGGAUCUUUCACCUUCAUCCGACAAUCGUAGAGCCUUUGGUACCAUUACCGCAAAAUGACGUCAAAACUAUUUUUCUGGUUUUGAGCUUAACUUUCAUUUCCAGACUUUUUCCUAGCUUGACUUGUCUUUGUACUACUUGGAGCUUGCUGAAUGACUAUUGGAUGAACUUGUUGUUGUGUGUGUACCUUUGGGACUGGUUGAGGAAAUAAUGAAGCCAUGAUUGAUGGCUGGAAAAGUAAGCAAAUUUAGGGGAAGUGCUGUCCGAACUUUUAAAGGACUUGUUUGCAUUGAGUUUGUGAUCUAAGGCUUGGAUUUGAGCAAGGCAAUGCUAUAUAAUGGAUAGUUUCGGAGCCGUGGAGGUGAGUGACCUCAAACUAUUUUUGAAGUUAUUUAUGAACCGUUUCCUGCAUUAUUUACUUAUGAACUGUUUCCAAAGUUACUUUUGUACCGUUUUAUUGCAUUAUUUACCUUUAAACUGUUUCCAAAGUUACUUUUGAACUGUUUUCUUGCAUAUCAUGCGUGCUUGCAUGUGAGUGUUCCUUAUUUGGUAUAUUUUCUUGACUUCAUGACUUGUAUUAUUGAUUGAUAACGUGUUAAGUGCUUUGAAUGAUUUCCAAAACGAGCUUUCUAGGCAAGUGUGUACUUUAUCGCACUCGACCUAAAUAACUGUGCAAUUUUCAAGGAUUUAAUUAUUGAAAUGCUAGUUGCGCAUGAUGUAAGCCUUUUGGGCUGAACUGGCCAUUGCCCCUUGUUACCGGUCGUCUCGAGCCAGCAGCGGUCUCGGUCAGGCGAUUAGGGACUUGGGUGAACGUUUGGUAUACUCGAGUAUUACCUAUGUAGGUUGGUGGAGCUUGGUGGAGCUUGGUGAAUGAAAUGAACGAACGAACGAACGAGGGGUUUAUUGAUAAAUGAAAAAUGCAUUUUCAAAUGAAUGAAGGAAGGAGAAUGUCAGGAGAACGAAUGAAUGAUCGAAUGAAUUGCUCCCUGUGAGCCGUAUCUUUUCAUGAAUGUUACUAUCGCUUUCCAUUGUAAAUGUUUCUUGAAUUAUUGAUACUCCAUAUUUGCUGUUUUGCAAAUGUUGUAGUUGUUUCUGGACUUAUCAUUUGAUUUAUGACAUCAUUGAUAUAUGACAUCAUUGAAAUGAACUAUUGUGAAACCGAUUUGAUUACUGAUUUUUUUUCUGGUUACUCGCUGAACUUUUAGCUCACCCCCAAAAUGUUUUAUUCCCCUCCACAGGGCUCGUGGCGAAGAAAGGGCUUGUAGUGCUUAUUCAUGUGAAUGGAUGGAUUAUCUCGUGUAUGGUUUGAAUUUGGAUUUCCUUUUGUGUAAUAGUUAUUAUUAGGGAUUAUAAUGAAUGUUUGGAAUCGAUCGGAUGUAUACAUACGUUCCACGCUUGGAAUUAGUUUCCGCUUCGUUUUGUUUAUAUGUAAAUAUUGGAGAUUUACAUUGUAAUAUUUGAGGUUUAUUCUUGUAAUUCAUUUGAGGAUUGUAGUGAACGACUGAGUCCCGGCGAGAGCUGGGCAGGCGAUCCGCCGAACCCUGGGGUACGCCCUAGGGAGAAGUGGGGUCGUCACAGAUUGAUUGAUAUCUAUUGUUAAUUGACAUCUUAUUCAAUUAGUUAAUCAAUCAAUUGGUCAGAAAUAUUAAUUUCAGUUAUGAAUUUUGGCAAGAUUUCCUUGAUGGAAGGAAACCCUAGGGAUUUUUGUAUUUGCCAGUUAGGGUCCCUAGCCUAUCCUAUAAAUAGCCUGUGGUAUUCCAACAAUUGUACACUUUUGGAUUAGGUAUAGGCUAGAAGAUCCUUACUCUAAAUUCUCUUUCUACUUUUUCUUCUUCUACAUAUUUUAUAUUGUUAGAAUAGAAAAGAAGAAGUCAAAGAUACAAGAAGAGAUCAACUUGUGCUUGACAACAAUGGUUAGAGGUAAGUAUAUUUAAAUUUUCACUGCGUAGUACAUUCACACGUACAUAGUUAGUUUAACAUGUGGUAUCAGAGCCAACCUCUAACCAUGUUGUUUAGCUUAUAAUUUCAUGGUUUAUUGGCAAUCUGAUAAAAGUUUUAGAGAUUUGUAUCAAGUUUAAACGAAUCGAAUUUAAUUUGCCAGGGGAUCUAUGGUCUAUUUUCUCAAUAAUUGAGAUUUAUUGACUAAUCCUAUGUAUAUGUACCAUUCAUAUGAUACCUUAUUUGGUUAUGCAAUUCAUCCAGAUUUUCUCCAAUAAUUUGGUAUGAUUGCAAGUAAUUUGAAUGUUUCUUGGACUUACUUAUUUGUGAUUGUAAGGGUUAUAUGUAUUGAUUGUUAUUAUCAAUACAAUAUAACAAUUCGAGAAACAUAUAAAGAGUUGUUAUAUUCAACAAUCAAAAGAUUAAUAUCAUAUUAAUCUAUGCAAGAUAAUUGGUUUACUUUAUAUGAAUGGAUCUAGUGGUUUAUUGAAUCUUUGCUAUCUUAUUAUGAGAUAAAUAUCUAAAGGUAUGAUUUCAAUAUUAGUUUGCCUCCAUGUUUCUAUUGUUAUUUGGAAUUAUGUAAUAUUUUGUGCACUACACUUAUGUCCAUUUAUCUCAUAUUAUAAGGUCAACAUUAGUAUGAUUGAUUACAUUUAAAUUUCAGAGAAUUUCCUUUAUAAAGUGUGUUUUGCAUCUCAAUUAUUUGAUGCAUGAAGUAUUUUAAUCACAUAAAGGCUGGUGGUUAAAAAUGAAUAUAAGAAAGAAAAAAGGGAAUUAUGAAAUCCUUUUGUCAAAAUACAGACUUUUGACUAUUUUGAUAUCCUUAUAAAGUCUAGUACACUUUAUGUUUGAGAAUAGCCAUAUCAUCUCAAACAUUGAUGUACUACAAUUUUGAUCACAUAUGGUUUAGUGAUCAAAAUCAAGGAUUUUUUGGUCAACAAAUUGACUACUGGUUUUCUAUGAAUUUUCAUUAAAAGUUUUCUUACAUCAUAUAUUUGGGAGUAGCCACAGCAUCUCAAAUAUACGGUGUAAAUAACUUUAAUCACAUAAGAUUGAGUGAUUAUAAAAGGAAAGGAAAAUUUAAUGAAAUUCAGUCAAUAUAAAGUUUUUUGACUAUUGAUAAAUAACAAGAUGCCAUGUUAAGAAUUUCACUUUUACAUUACUAUUUGGGAAUAGCCACAUCAUCUCAAAUAUUUAAUGAGAAGUUUUUCAUCACAUAUAGUUUGGUGAUUGAAAUUAUGAAUUUUUAGUCAACAUAUUGACUAGUUGACAAUUUUUCUUAUAAUGCCGUAUACUUAGGAGUAGCCACAGCAUCUUAAGUAUAUUGGUGCUUCGAGAAAUUUUGCAUUUCUUUUUCACAUAUUGUUGAGUUAUUAAAGAAAUUAAAAAAACAAUUGGCAUCUAUAUCAAGUUGCAAUUAAUUCAUUGAAAUAGUUAUCCGGCCCCACAGGGAGGUAAUUAUUUUGAUAAGAUUAAUUGACAUAAGAUGGUAAAUUAGACAGUCAAUUAAGAGAUAUUUCUAUGCCCACAGGUACGAAUUAUUUCUUUAAUUCAUUGAUCUAGAUUACUAAUCUUAUGAUUAAGUAAAGUAAAUGCUAUGUAUAUUUGCAACCUUUGUCCACAGAAAGGUUUGAAUUUACUAUUUGAAUUGACAUAAGGUUGAUUCAAAAUCAAGGUACAAAUUUCAUAGCUUUUUUUUUUUUUUUGAUAUAGUUAUUGAUUGUAAAUUCAGUGUUUCAUUCCAAUGAUUUUAUGGUUCUUAUUAACUUGAUUUUUAAAUUCAUUCUCUUUUGUUUUGGUGCAAGUUUUAAAUUAGCACUUCCAUGAGAAUGAACAAACCAUUCUCAUAAUGUGGAUAUAUUUGCUAAUAUAGAGGUUGAGUAUGAGAAUUAGAAGCAAUUUAAUAGUUUGCUCAUUUUGUCUCAUAUUCAUAUAAAAUAGGGUUCAAACCCUAAUUAUUUAUAGUUAAAUCUUGCAUGAAAGCCAUAAAAGAAAUUGUUGCAAGUUUUAACUAGCACCAUUAGAAGGCUUUCUUUUGUGACACUUAAAUAUUGAAGUGUAUUUUAGCUCAUUUCUUAGAGUUGAGAAUUUUGCUAUAUCAUUAAUUAAAGUCCCCUCAAAUUGAGAUUGAGUUAUUUCUAUCGCAUUUCAAUCUUGAUUCUUUCAUGCAGAAUUUCUUAACCAUUCAAACCUUUAUAAUACACAUAAAGCUAUAUGGUUAAUUACUUGUUUUAACCAUGUGUAUUAAUAAAGGAUAAAGAUGUUAAGAAAUAAGAGAAACUUAACCUUCAUGAAAGAAGAAAUGGAAAGAAAGGUAUUUUUGUUCUCAUUAAAUCAAACAGCGAUAAAGACCAACGUUGUUAGUAAGAGAAUGAUAUUUGAUACUCUACUUUGAGAGAAAGUAACUCAAAAGAAAAUCUCAAUUGUUGAGUGUUAUAAAUUGUGAUAUAUUUGGUGAAUUGACUAAAACUGUCAAUUUACGCUGCCAGUAUAAUAAAUUUCUGAUUAUAUGAAAAGUGAACAAAAGUUUCUUUAUAGAAACUUAAAAAAAAAAUGUUCACAUAAAGAUAAGUGAUGUGUUAUUGCUCAUUUAAGAAAAUUUGUUUUUUCAAAAAACAUUAUUUUCUUGUUACUUUAGAAUUUCUAUUUUCAAAUUAAUUACUAUUGGGUAUGAUUAUGAAUCUCAUUAUCCAAUAGUAGAUUUUGAAAAUAGUAAAGUUAUUAAUUCUAAAGUUUCUAGUACUAUCCUUUGAAUUGAGCAAUAAACUGCACUUGAUCAUAAUAAUUAUAUUGGCAGCAAGUAUGUUUAUAACUGGAGAAACUCCUAUAGAAAAGAAAAGAAGAUAAAAAGAGAAAUAAAAUAGAAUAAAAGAUGUUUUACUCCAAUGGUUCUUGUACUUAGUAACCAGGAGUCUUCAUCUACAAAUGUCGACUUUCGUGUAAAACGUCACUUGAAUUAAAAGCAUACAAAGCAACUUGAGAAUGUGAAUUGUUUAGUAACUGGAAAUUUUCAUCUAAAAAUAUCUAUCUUCACAUCAAAAGCCACUUUCACAACUUGAGCAAUAUAUAGCUAUGUUAUAUGAAUAAAAUCCUUUGUUGAACUUGAGAAGAGAGAUCACCAUAGGUUUAGCUAACAUUUUUAUUAACCAUAUGAGUUACUUGUUUGUGAAAUUGGGUAAGAAUGAGAAAUUGAGUUAAAUUAGUUAAAACUAUGGUAUAAUUAGCUCUUCUUCACUUGAUAUUAUGUGUACUUGAGUUUAAUUGAAUAAUUACAUAAUGGUUAUUUACUUUGUUUUGAGAAAAUAAAGUUGAAUUGUGCACAUGUGUUUAUUUUCAAAGUUUUGGAUCAUUGUUGGUUUGUAUUUCUUAUUGCUUGAGGACAAGCAAUGGUUCAAGUGUAGGAAAGUUUGAUAAAUGUGUAUUUGAUAUGUUUUAAGUGUGUUUUAUUAGUCAGUUUUGGUGUGUUUUAUUUAGUUUUAUAACUAAUUAGUUAGCAUUCUAGUGAAAAUAUGCAUUUUGUUAUUGAAGUGGUAAAAAUUGCAAACUAUAGAUUUUAAUGGUAAAAACUUCAUAUUUUUUGAGGUUUAAUUAUUCAAUCAUCAAUUAGAGUGUUGAGAAGAUAAUUGGAUGAUUAUUGAUGAUUUGAAGUAAUUAAAGGAAGACAUGAAGUGCAAAAUGUUCAAAGGAUGAAAUGAAAGUUUUACAGUUUUGACAUCUUGUGGUAUUUUGGCUAUAUCUUAAACUAUAAGUAUUGGAUUGAGGUGAUUCUUGUAUCAUUUUGAAUCUAAGAGAUAGAUCUACAUUUGGUAUGCAGAUGUUGAAAUCCAGUUCAGUCGUUUUCCUUGUCAAAAUGUUAAAAUAUAGAAGCGCAUUUUUGUUAUCGAAAGCUAAAACAAGGUUCUGACCAUUUGAGGGUAGGUUGACUAUGUGAGAACCCUGAAAAUAGAUAUAUAAGCUAGUGUAUAUUUCAUUUGCAUUUCUUUUAUUCUUUAAUAAUUUCCAGAAUUACUUUUACUUGUUCGCAAUUAAGUACGUAAAAAUAGGUUUAUGUGAAAAUUGACACCCUUGGAUUAAAUUAUUAUUCCAAUUGACUUUAUAUUAUUAAAUCGAUAAAUUUCGAGUUAGACUAACUCUAUUUCUUGAGAAAUAAUAAUUGGAAAUUCUAAAAACUAAUUUAAUCGCUAAAUAAUAUAAGAAUUACUAGGAACCUUAAUAUUCAAGUUUAAUCGAUAAUUAUUCGAUAAAAAUUGUUUAGGUAUGUUAGGGUAUAAUUAGGCGUUUAAUCACGCUUGGGGAUAAUUUUUAGAAGUAAGUUAGAAUUGAGAAAUUAAGUUGAGGUUGGGGAGCAAAGUGAAAAGACUAAAAUGCCCUUACAAUUUCAUGCAAACCAAACGAAACCUCUGACCGCAAGUUUAAUCACUGCAACUAUCGCCAAUUCUAUACGCAAUCGAUUCUUACACGAAACCUCUGCUCCUUAAACCACGGCACCACAAUACCGUUCUCUCUAUUUCACGUCUAAAACCACAAUUCCAAUUCCUUCUCUACACAAGCAAACCGCAAACCAUUUCCUUCCUUCUUAAUACCGAGAUACUGCCUCUUCAUCAUCUCAUUUCCUUUGCACAAUUUCACCGCAGCUGCUACUCUUCCUCUCCACAACCACACCUCACCUCUUCUUCUACCUUAGACCAAGAGCAUCCGAGAGAGAGGGUUACCUGGUGAGCUGCAUCCGAGAGCAAGGGAGGAGGGAUCGCAAGCUGCCAUUUCUUCCUUUCUGUUCUGACCGUAAGUUGAGGGAAAAUACCAGGAACCAUCGCACCUUUUCUCUACUAGCUGUGGCCAAUUCCAACUCCACUCAACCGAGCUCAACCUCACCACAACACCACUCCAGCCGCAACUCAGGAACCAGGACAACCGACUGCACUUGAAACCGAGAGCAAGGAAGGAAAAAUUCUGGAAUUUUCGUGUGCGAGAUUAGCUGUUAUCUGAGGUAAUUUCCGGACCAAUUAGGUUGAAUUCUAGUAGAGGAAGCUAUAUCUGAGCUUGCAUGUAAGGAUUGUGCAGACGGAUGUUGAAAUCAAACCAUUAGAAAAAUUUCUGUUCGGUUAAAAUGUUGCUGCCGAGAAACUGAAGUGAUAUUGCAACUCCAUUUUUGUUUUUCGUGACAAUCUGAACACCUGAGUGUCAUUAGCUGAGUGAAAACUUGAAGAUUAAGACCCUGCAUGUUGAUUUGUGCAUUCGGAUGAUGUGGUUAAAGCAAAGAAAAAUUUCUGUUUUGGUUAAAAAUUUCUGCCGAGGAGCUGGCUUGAAAUUGUAGUUUUAUUUCUGACUUCCUGCGACAAUCUGAGUUUGAUUAGGUGUUUAACUAAUCAAAAACAAGAAGUUUAAGUUAUCUAAGAACUUGCAUGUGGAUGAUAGGCAGCCGGAUGGGAGUUUUAAGAAAAGAAGUUCGGUUAUGUGCAUGUUUUGGAGCUGCCGAGAGCUUAGCUUGUUUAUGGCAGCCUGAUUUGGUUCAAUUUUAUUGUUUGAGCUUACAACCAUAAUUAUAUAGUUAAUCACAAGUUAAUUAGGCUCUGCAUGCGGCUAAUUAGUUAGUUUAAACCAGAAAAAAAAAUGAAAUCAAAGUGUAAUCUGCCAAGCAUGUUCAUCCGAGUCAAGCAGGAAAAUUUUAGAAAAUUUUGAUGUUAAUGGUUGUUGUUUGAACUCGAUUUCUGAACUGGAAAUGUUUAUUUUCUAGCUAAGUAAUUGCAUGAGGGAGUUGAGAGUUUAAAAGCAUGUUUUAACCCAGAAAAUAAAAUGAAAACAGAACAUCUCUUCAUGCAUGUUCAUCCGUGGCUGAUGGACAAAAUUUCUGGAUUUUUUUCUGGAUAAUUUUAGUUGCUGAAUGAAUCUAGUUUUGAAGUGGAAAUUUUUACUAACUAGCUAAGUGUUAAAUGCUGAAUUUGAGUACCUAACACCAUGUUUAAACCAAGGGAAAAUUUAAUCUAAAGUAUAUUAGUUGCUGGAAAACUUUGGAAGCCGCAAGUUGGAACCAGAGAUUUCAGUUUGUUUUAGAAGUUUAAUUGGUUUCUGAAAAUUUAUUUUAUUUUUUUUCCUUGGAAUAUAAUGGUUUAGAAAUACCGAGGAGUUGUAAGUAUUAAGUUGUGUAAGUUGUUUAGCAAUGAAAUAUUUGAUAAAUUGAAGAUGGAACCAGAAAAUGUUGGUUUAUACAUGCUGGAAUUUCUUUUGUGGUAGCCGAAGGGUGAGUUGGAAUCUUAGCUUGGCUUUUAAAUUUUUUUUCCUUGAAACAUGAUGGAUGGAAAUGCCUGGAAUAUGUUGUUUUGGAGUUUUAUAAGAAAUGUAUGAAUGCCCUGUUUCUUCGUGAAACUGAAAUUGGGUUUGGAUUGAACUUUUAGCUUACUUGUGGUUUAAAUUCUUAAUUGAAUUGUGGUUGGAAGUAAUUGGUGUUGUCAAGGGCAAAUGAUUGAUGAAGCCCUUGGCCAUUUGAAUGAUUUUAUAAGUAUUACUGGGUGAUAAAAUUUAAUUGCUAGAAUUUCUUGGAGGCCUUGCUUUUAUUUUUAUUUGUUUAAGCUGAGCUUGCUGAAACCAUGUGCUAAUGAUUGAUGAAGCCUUGGUCAUUCAUUUUAUUUUUAUCAGAAAUGCAUUUGUUGAAAUCUAGGGCUAAUGAUUGACGAAACCCUAGUGAUUUGCUAUGUGAUUUUGCCAUAUUUGAUCCAUAAUAUGAUUUCAAAACGGAAUCGGAGUUGUGAAAGUCGUUUCUACCUUGCGAACUCGAGUAACUGUGAUCAAAUUAAUCAAAAAUAUUUUUCAGCUAGUAUUAAAUUAUAAAAACUCAAUAUCUAGUGUUUUGCCUAAAACUUUCCAACCCGAUAAUUUCCUUUAGCUCAAACUAGCCUUAUUACCUUGGGAAAAUGAUUUUCCUAGUUUCUAAAACUCUAGCCUUGUUUUACUCCUUUUCUUUUCUCUAAAAAUUGUCCUUGGCUAGUUAAUUAUAGGAAAAGUACCAAAAUACGAGUUUUAAUAAUUUUAGUUAAAAAGCAUAGAAACUUGCUCGGCAAGAAACCUUAUUUUUCUAGGUAAAAUAGUUUUAGUAAUAAUUUUUGUAAAAAUCAUAGCUUUAAAGAAAUGUUCAAAGUAACUUCCUAACGUGGAUUUUAAGAGGUUUGUCGACUUAUCUCAAGAAAAUAAUAUUAGUUACCCUUUUAUAAGGAAAAGUAUUUUAAGGAAAACUAUAAUAAACAUUUCUUCUACUUUUGUCAAGUUUUAACCUAAAGGACUCUUGAUUCUUCUAAGGAAAAGUAUACUAGUAGUAUAUUAGAUAUACCUCGACGUCUAUAAGCUUAAAAACUGAAUAGAAUCUUAUAGUUUCAAAAUUUUGAUUUUUAGGAUAUUACGAGGACGCGGAAUUCGAUUUCCAACUUGAUAUCUGAACUCCACUCUUGGUGAGUGUCCAUGCCUAUUCUAUGUUUACCUGGUUAAAGUGCUUUCUUGACUCAAUACGUGAUAAUUUGUAAAACUAGUUUUUGAUCCAUCGAAGUGAGCAGUGUAUACUUUAUCGCACUAACCGUUCGAUUGGUGACUUGCGUGAAUAAUUUUCUCGUGAAUCCAUAAAUCUAAAUGUAGUUACGUCGUUGGGUGAAUCCCUCGACGCGUGAAUCUAACUACCAUAAAUCUAAUCUAAAUGUAGUUACGUCGUUGGGUGAAUCCCUCGACGCGUGAAUCUAACUACCAUAAAUCUAAAUGUAGUUACAUCGUUGGGUGAAUCCCUCGACGCGUGAAUCUAACUACAAUAAUGUCGUUGGGUGAAUCUCUCGACCAAUCAUCUACGGGUAUAUCUCGAGUAUACUGCGUCUUUAGUCGGCGAGCGGGCCCGUGACAGGGGUAUGAACGGUGACGGGUUAGGAUUAAAAUGAGUGGAUCUACAUGGAUUAUAAGUAGUGAGAGUUGAUGGAGGGUCAACUACGAUAAAUGGUGAUCAAGCGAGGAAAGUGGCUCCUGAGAGCCCAUGUAUCCUACCUUGUGCUGUUAUCCGCUUUCCUAAUUGUUUAAAUUUGCUAUGUCAUUAACCGCUGUUUGUUAUUACGUGAUUGCAUGUUUUGGGGCAUCACUGAGCGUUAGCUCACCCCACGUUUAUUGUUUUCCUUAACAGGUUCUGGAAACUGAAAGUUGGAUGCUUACUUAUGUUUUCCUUUUGGAAUGUAUUUGAAUACUAUGACUUAUUCUGUGGGCUGUAAUGUGUUAAUUGGGAUAAUGUACUUUUCUUUUGGAUUGUCACUUGAAGCUAGAAAAUGUGUAAACCCUAAUUCGAUUGCUUGGCUUGUAAGUUUGUAUUAUGGAUUUAUGUGUUUAUCUAUCCGGUUUGGUACGACUUUAUACUUUGAUACGUGGCACGUGGGACGUUUAAGAGCCUCGACUGGCUAAUUUAUCACUGCUAUCUCUGAAGUUAAUGUGGAUUUAAGGAAGAUCUUAUUCGGGGAAAAUUGUUUUGUAAUAGAUUAGGAUAUUCUUCGAAGGGAUUUGGGUUAGAAUGCUUGCGUGAGUCCUGGCAAGAGUUGGGCAGACGGCCCGCCAACCCUUUGGUUCGCCUCAGGGGGAAGUGGGGUCGCCACAGGUGGUAUCAGAGGCUCGGCUAGAAAAGUUAUUUGAAAGACAUAUUAGGUGUGCUAGAAACCCUAAUCCUCUCUAGGAAUAAGAAUUGAGACCAUUAGAAAUACCUUAAGUAAUAUACGAUCCGGUUAGCUAUUUAGGUUCUAACCUUUAAGUGUUGAUUAUUUUGCAGGUAUGGAGAAUGGUAAUGGGCAUGCUAAUGGUAGUAGCGAGGCUAAUGGACACGUAGAGCCGCUAAGAUCCAUUUCCUAUAGACCUCGAGGAGGAGGAAACCGAGUUCGAUACUCCCCAGCUGAUAGGCACCCUAGGUGCUAGUGUAGGGCCACGUACGCGUAUCCCAACGCGUUGGUGUUGUCUCUUGAUGAUGAGCGCCGCCACUUGUGGGACGUUAACCACACCUUGACCCAGGAUGUGGAGGAGUUGAGUAUCAUGGUGGAUACCCAGUUCGACCGCAUAGUCGACUUGGAGAUUAGGCUAACUGCUGAGCAUAAUAUGCUGGAGGUUGCGCGGUUGGAGAUAGAGCGACAGAGGUCUAGAGUGACCCGACUUGCUGAGGGGAUUCGUGAUAGGAGUGCUAGCAUCAGGGCUGAUGCUUCUAUGCUUAUGGAUGAGGCCACUAGUUACCUUCAGGAUAACGAGCAGGCAGGCACGGAGGAGGAUCCGGAGGAGGAUCCAGAGGACGAUCCGGAGGAGGAUCCAACUGAGGACAUUGCUCCUGAUAGCCCUGCUGAGGGUUAGAUUAGGAUUGACUUGGUAGUAUUAGAUAGGUAGGAUCAGAACAGCGACAUUAGUCAAGUCAUCAAAUUUUGUCUAGGUGAAUGACUUGCUUCCGAUGCACCAUAUCCCUACUUUUUGUUUAAGGGAUUAUUUGUAUGUAUUUUUGCUAACUUAUGUGCCUUACUUUUGGAAAUGUUCCAACUUGUUAAUUGUAUGACUGUUCCACGAAAAUAUAUGUUAAGUGUUUCAUUUUCUUUUCCUCUAUUUUCAUGUCGGUUUUUAAUCACAUAACGAAUCAUAAUAAUUAAAUAUAAAUAAAAUUUUUGCCUAAUUGUCUUACCCUUCAGUAAUAGGCAUAAUUAGACAAUGGAUCGCCAAAUGAUAGGAAGGAGCCGUGGGAGACCCACUAGACAACACCCGGAAGCGGGUGGUGAUAGGGAACCCGAGGUCAAUCGAGACCAAGGGGCAAGAGAGAGUGGCCGGAGAUCAAAUGGUCACCGCAAUUAACCAUAUCACUGAUGUUUUGGAGCGCUUGACUGAACAUCAAGCCUCUGGGCCAGUGCACCGCCAAGAAGGCCCAGCCGAUUCCGAGGAUCGGGCACUGGAGAGGUUUCUGAAGUUUGGACCUCCUAAAUUCUACGGAGGACCCGAACCUGAGAUAGCUGAGGGAUGGUGGGAGAAAAUCUCCGACAUCUUCGCAGCUUUAAACUACACGGAAGAGCGGCAGGUGACUUUUGCCGCAUUCCAGUUUGAAGAAGCUGCUCGCUCCUGGUGGAAUCUGAUUAGGACUAACUGGGACAGGAAUCAUACUCCAAGGACUUGGGCAAACUUCACAAGGAAGUUCAAUGCCAAAUUUCUUCCACCUCUCAUCCAAGAAAAGAGGGAGGAUGACUUCAUAAAAUAUAACCAGGGGGCGAUGAGUGUCGCCGAAUAUGAAGUCCAGUUCACCAAGCUAUCCCGUUUUGCUCCUGAAUUGGUAACCACGGAACAAAGGCGAGUCAGAAGGUUCGUACAGGGUCUGAAUGUGGAAGUACAGGAAGGUUUAGCUGCCGUGAGGAUAGAUACUUUUGCAGAUGCCGUCGAGAAAGCCCAGAGAGUUGAACUGGCUAGGGCUCAAGUGAAAUCUUUUCAGGCCAAGAAAAGAUUUGCUCCUAGCAGUAGUCGGGAGCCGACGUAUGGCAAUGCGUCCACCGGCCAAAGUGGGCCGAGGAACCAUUGGAGUGAAUAGUCCUGGAGCACCACGAGGCGCCCACGCAAGAGGAAACGGGGCCAGGAAUGCGGGGGGACGAAAUAAUGGAACCAGAAUGGGACCGAUUGGAAGGGGACAACCUAGGAAUAUCUCGCAGGGAGGCCGAGCAAUAGUUCCCCAAGUGAAUUAUGCAUUUUGUAAGAAACCUGGCCAUACUAUAGAUGGUUGCUGGAAGAAGCAAGGGAGGUGCUUGAAAUGAGGAAGUAGCGAGCACCAAAUUUCUGGAUGUCCAAAAAUACAGGAAGGGAUUACUUCGAACGCUAGACUAAACACAUCUGGAGGGAGCCGGCCAACAGUUCCUGCCAGGGUGUAUGCUAUAGAUGACCAACCUGUACCUGAUUCCUCGGAAGUCGUGGAAGGUACUCUCCCCAUUUUUCAUCGAUUAGCUAAAGUGUUAAUUGACCCUGGUGCAACUCAUUCAUUCGUAAAUCCAUCAUUUAUGUCUGGAAUAGAUGUGAAACCUGUUAAAUUACCCUUUGAUCUUGAAGUUAGGACACCAAUGGAUAAUAAGAAGAUAAUCGCUAGCCUAGCCUUUAAGAAUUGUGAAUUCUGGAUUGGAGAGCGUAAAAUGCUAGUGGAUCUAAUCAGUCUGGACAUGAAAGGGUACGAUGUUAUCAUAGGAAUGGAUUUCCUAGGCCAGUAUCAUGCUAAGCUUGAUUGCCGAGCGAAAGUGGUGAAAUUCUGUAUACCUGGAGAAGCAACUCUGAGGUUAGAUGUUAAGGGUAGGUUAGCAUCAUCUGCUAUGAUUUCAGGGAUACGGGCAAGGAAAAUGUUGUCAAAAGGAGCUCAAGGUUUCUUAGCCUUCUUGAUUAAUGCUCUCAGUGAUCAAGUGAAGUUAGAAGAUGUACCAGUGGUACGGGAAUUUCCGGAUGUUUUUCCUGAGGAACUAAAGACUCUACCGCCGGAAAGAGAAGUGCAAUUUAGGAUUGACUUGGUGCCUGGAACGGCUCCAAUUUCUAAAACUCCGUACCGAAUGGCUCCUGCCGAACUAAAGGAGUUGAAAAUUCAACUGCAAGACCUCUUGGAGAAAGGUUUUGUGAAGGAGAGUGAUUCACCGUGGGGAGCAACCGUUCUAUUUGUUAAGAAAAAUGACGGAAGCUUGAGGUUAUGUAUCGAUUACCGAUGGUUAAAUGAGAUUACAAUUAAGAAUAAAUACCCUCUACCGUUGAUAGAUAGUUUGUUUGACCAACUGCAAGGGUCAGUAGUUUUCUCUAAGCUGGAUUUGAGGCAAGGGUAUUAUCAGUUAAAGAUUAAGAAGGAGGAUAUACCCAAAACUGCUUUUAGUACGAGAUAUGGACAUUUUGAGUUCGCAGUCAUGCCUUUUGGUUUAACUAAUGCACCAGCGGCAUUCAUGAAUUUAAUGCAGAGAGUCUUUAAGAAAUAUCUGAAUCAGUUUGUAGUGGUUUUCAUCGAUGAUAUCCUGAUAUACUCUAAGACGCGAGAGGAACAUGUUAGGCACUUGGAGAUAGUCUUGCAAAUACUAAGAGAGCAUAGGUUGUAUGCCAAAUUUAGCAAGUGUGAGUUUUGGCUAGAUGAAAUAUCUUUUCUAGGACAUAAAGUUUCUAAGGAGGGAAUUGCCGUGGAUCCGGCAAAAGUUGAAGCCGUUAUGAAUUGGAAGCAGCCAGAAAGGCCAACUGAAGCUAGAAGUUUCUUGGGAUUAGCAGGGUAUUAUAGGCGAUUUAUUAAGGAUUUCUCGAAGAUUGCUGGACCCAUGACCGAGCUAACCAAGAAGGGGAAUAGGUUCAUUUGGACUCCGAAGUGCGAGUCAAGUUUUCAGGAAUUAAAGAAGCGUUUAACAUCCGCUCCUGUUUUGGUGUUACCUGAUGGAGGUGAAGGUUAUGCCGUGUACUCCGAUGCUUCUGGAGAAGGUCUAGGAUGUGUUUUAAUGCAAAAUGGUAAAGUGAUUGCCUACGCUUCCAGGAGACUGAAGCCUCGUGAACAAAACUACCCAACUCAUGACCUAGAGUUAGCAGCAGUGAUUUUCGCCUUAAAGAAAUGGAAACACUACUUGUAUGGCGUGACUUUUGAGGUUUAUACGGACCAUAAGAGUCUUAAGUAUUUGUUCUCCCAGAAGGAAUUAAAUUUGAGACAAAGGCGAUGGGUAGAAUUUCUGGAAGAUUAUGACUGUUCAAUUAACUACCACCCAGGAAAAGCUAAUGUGGUAGCUGACGCUCUAAAUAGAAAGUCCCAAGUAGCAGGGUUAAUGGUUAAGGAGUGGGAUAUGUUAGAGGAAAUAAGUGGUUGGAACCCUCGCUUGGAGAAACUGAAGAUCUUAUUUGGGAAUUUAUCGUUAAAAUCGCCAUUACUAGAGCGUAUUAAGGAGGCCCAGAAAACGGACCCUAUGAUUCAGAAGAAUUUGGAGAAAGUGCAAAAAGGGGAAACCCUAGAUUUUAAAUUAGGGUCUGAAGGUGUAUUGAGGUUCCAAGAUCGAAUUGUGAUUUCGGCAGAUGAGGAGAUAAGAAAAAAAAUUUUGGAAAAAUCACAUCGAUCGAAAUAUACCAUACAUCCAGGUGUGACCAAGAUGUAUCAUGAUGUGAAGGGACUAUACUGGUGGGAAGGUUUGAAAAAGGACGUAGCAGAGUUUGUUUAGAGAUGUUUGAUCUGUCAACAAGUAAAAGCUGAGCAUCAGAAGCCCUCUGGAUUGUUGCAACCGCUAGAAAUCGCUGAAUGGAAAUGGGAACAUAUCACAAUGGAUUUUGUAACGGGAUUGCCUAGAAGUAAAAAAGAAUUCGAUGCAAUUUGGGUAAUAGUUGACCGACUCACUAAAUCUGCACAUUUCCUACCCGUAAGCAUGAACUUUUCUUUGGAAAAACUGGUCAAGUUAUACACAGAAGAGAUCCUAAGAUUACAUGGUAUUCCUGUAAGUAUCGUGUCUGAUCGAGACCCAAGGUUUGUCUCACGUUUUUGGCAGAAAUUUCAGGAGUCUUUGGGGACCAAGUUGAAAUUUAGUACGGCUUACCAUCCCCAAACCGACGGGCAGUCGGAAAGAACAAUUCAAACUUUGGAAGAUAUGCUGAGGUCGUGUAUAUUAGAUUUUGGAGGUAAAUGGAGUAAUUAUAUGACCCUAGUAGAAUUUGCAUAUAACAACAGUUAUCAAGUCUCAAUUCAAAUGGAACCUUAUGAAGCUUUGUAUGGCAGAAGAUGUCGAUCUCCGAUACAUUGGGAUGAAAUAGGAGAAAAGAAGAUUGUAGAUCCAACAGCGAUAUCUUGGAUAGAAGAAACCCAGGAGAAAGUGAAACUUAUUAGGGAAAGGCUUCAAACCGCUCAGAGUAGACAAAAGAGCUACGCCGACACAAGGAGGAAAGAUUUGGAAUUCGAAGUAGGAGACAAGGUCUUCCUAAGAAUUAAAUCCUUGAAGGGCGGAGUAGUGCCUAAGAAAGGUAAGAAGCUAAAGCCAAGGUAUAUCGGACCUUUCGAAAUUUUGAAGCGAGUUGGGAAUGUAGCAUAUCAGUUGAAGUUACCCGCAAGCAUGGCUAAGGUUCACGAUGUAUUUCACGUUUCCAUGCUUAAGAAAUAUUAUUCCGACCCAAGUCAUGUGCUGCCCCUGGAAGGAAUUGAAGUGGAUGAGGCAUUAACAUAUGAAGAAGGACCAGUCAAGAUUUUGGAAAGAGAAGUAAAGGAAUUGAGAAAUAAGAAAAUUCCUCUGGUGAAGAUUUUAUGGAGAAAUCAUGGACUUGAGGAAGCAACUUGGGAAUUAGAAGAGGAAAUGCAGAAAAAGUACCCUGAUUUAUUUCCUUAGAAAGUGUGAAUUUUGAGGACAAAAUUCUUGUAAGGAGGGGAGGAUGUGAGAACCCUGAAAAUGGAUAUAUAAGCUAGUGUAUAUUUCAUUUGCAUUUCUUUUAUUCUUUAAUAAUUUCCAGCAUUACUUUUACUUGUUCGCAAUUAAGUACGUAAAAAUAGGUUUAUGUGAAAAUUGACACCCUUGGAUUAAAUUAUUAUUCCACUUGACUUUAUAUUAUUAAAUCGAUAAAUUUCGAGUUAGACUAACUCUAUUCCUUGAGAAAUAAUAAUUGGAAAUUCUAAGAACUAAUUUAAUCGCUAAAUAAUAUAAGAAUUACUAGGAACCUUAAUAUUCAAGUUUAAUCGAUAAUUAUUCGAUAAAAAUGGUUUAGGUAUAUUAGGGUAUAAUUAGGCGUUUAAAUCACGCUUGGGGAUAAUUUUUAGAAGUAAGUUAGAAUUGAGAAAUUAAGUUGAGGUUGGGGAGCAAAGUGAAAAGACUAAAAUGCCCUUACAAUUUCAUGCAAACCAAACGAAACCUUUGACCGCAAGUUUAAUCACUGCAACUAUCGCCAAUUCUAUACGCAAUCGAUUCUUACACGAAACCUCUGCUCCUUAAACCACGGCACCACAAUACCGUUCUCUCUAUUUCACGUCUAAAACCACAAUUCCAAUUCCUUCUCUACACAAGCAAACCGCAAACCAUUUCCUUCCUUCUUAAUACCGAGAUACUGACUCUUCAUCAUCUCAUUUCCUUUGCACAAUUUCACCGCAGCUGCUACUCUUCCUCUCCACAACCACACCUCACCUCUUCUUCUACCUUAGACCGAGAGCAUCCGAGAGAGAGGGUUACCUGGUGAGCUGCAUCCGAGAGCAAGGGAGAAGGGAUCGCAAGCUGCCAUUUCUUCCUUUCUGUUCUGACCGUAAGUUGAGGGAAAAUACCAGGAACCAUCGCACCUUUUCUCUACUAGCUGUGGCCAAUUCCAACUCCACUCAACCGAGCUCAACCUCACCACAACACCACUCCAGCCGCAACUCAGGAACCAGGACAACCGACUGCACUUGAAACCGAGAGCAAGGAAGGAAAAAUUCUGGAAUUUUCGUGUGCGAGAUUAGCUGUUAUCUGAGGUAAUUUCCGGACCAAUUAGGUUGAAUUCUAGUAGAGGAAGCUAUAUCUGAGCUUGCAUGUAAGGAUUGUGCAGACGGAUGUUGAAAUCAAACCAUUAGAAAAAUUUCUGUUCGGUUAAAAUGUUGCUGCCGAGAAACUGAAGUGAUAUUGCAACUCCAUUUUUGUUUUUCGUGACAAUCUGAACACCUGAGUGUCAUUAGCUGAGUGAAAACUUGAAGAUUAAGACCCUGCAUGUUGAUUUGUGCAUUCGGAUGAUGUGGUUAAAGCAAAGAAAAAUUUCUGUUUUGGUUAAAAAUUUCUGCCGAGGAGCUGGCUUGAAAUUGUAGUUUUAUUUCUGACUUCCUGCGACAAUCUGAGUUUGAUUAGGUGUUUAACUAAUCAAAAACAAGAAGUUUAAGUUAUCUAAGAACUUGCAUGUGGAUGAUAGGCAGCCGGAUGGGAGUUUUAAGAAAAGAAGUUCGGUUAUGUGCAUGUUUUGGAGCUGCCGAGAGCUUAGCUUGUUUAUGGCAGCCUGAUUUGGUUCAAUUUUAUUGUUUGAGCUUACAACCAUAAUUAUAUAGUUAAUCACAAGUUAAUUAGGCUCUGCAUGCGGCUAAUUAGUUAGUUUAAACCAGAAAAAAAAAUGAAAUCAAAGUGUAAUCUGCCAAGCAUGUUCAUCCGAGUCAAGCAGGAAAAUUUUAGAAAAUUUUGAUGUUAAUGGUUGUUGUUUGAACUCGAUUUCUGAACUGGAAAUGUUUAUUUUCUAGCUAAGUAAUUGCAUGAGGGAGUUGAGAGUUUAAAAGCAUGUUUUAACCCAGAAAAUAAAAUGAAAACAGAACAUCUCUUCAUGCAUGUUCAUCCGUGGCUGAUGGACAAAAUUUCUGGAUUUUUUUCUGGAUAAUUUUAGUUGCUGAAUGAAUCUAGUUUUGAAGUGGAAAUUUUUACUAGCUAGCUAAGUGUUAAAUGCUGAAUUUGAGUACCUAACACCAUGUUUAAACCAAGGGAAAAUUUAAUCUAAAGUAUAUUAGUUGCUGGAAAACUUUGGAAGCCGCAAGUUGGAACCAGAGAUUUCAGUUUGUUUUAGAAGUUUAAUUGGUUUCUGAAAAUUUAUUUUAUUUUUUUUCCUUGGAAUAUAAUGGUUUAGAAAUACCGAGGAGUUGUAAGUAUUAAGUUGUGUAAGUUGUUUAGCAAUGAAAUAUUUGAUAAAUUGAAGAUGGAACCAGAAAAUGUUGGUUUAUACAUGCUGGAAUUUCUUUUGUGGUAGCCGAAGGGUGAGUUGGAAUCUUAGCUUGGCUUUUAAAUUUUUUUUCCUUGAAACAUGAUGGAUGGAAAUGCCUGGAAUAUGUUGUUUUGGAGUUUUAUAAGAAAUGUAUGAAUGUCCUGUUUCUUCGUGAAACUGAAAUUGGGUUUGGAUCGAACUUUUAGCUUACUUGUGGUUUAAAUUCUUAAUUGAAUUGUGGUUGGAAGUAAUUGGUGUUGUCAAGGGCUAAUGAUUGAUGAAACCCUUGGCCAUUUGAAUGAUUUUAUAAGUAUUACUGGGUGAUGAAAUUUAAUUGCUAGAAUUUCUUGGAGGCCUUGCUUUUAUUUUUAUUUGUUUAAGCUGAGCUUGCUGAAACCAAGUGCUAAUGAUAGAUGAAGCCUUGGUCAUUCAUUUUAUUUUUAUCAGAAAUGCAUUUGUUGAAAUCUAGGGCUAAUGAUUGACGAAUCCCUAGUGAUUUGCUAUGUGAUUUUGCCAUAUUUGAUCCAUAAUAUGAUUUCAAAACGGAAUCGGAGCUGUGAAAGUCGUUUCUACCUUGCGAACUCGAGUAACUAUGAUCAAAUUAAUCAAAAAUAUUUUCCAUCUAGUAUUAAAUUAUAAAAACUCAAUAUCUAGUGUUUUGCCUAAAACUUUCCAACCCGAUAAUUUCCUUUAGCUCAAACUAGCCUUAUUACCUUGGAAAAAUGAUUUUCCUAGUUUCUAAAACUCUAGCCUUGUUUUACUCCUUUUCUUUUCUCUAAGAAUUGUCCUUGGCUAGUUAACUAUAGGAAAAGUGCCAAAAUACGAGUUUUAAUAAUUUUAGUUAAAAAGCAUAGAAACUUGCUCGGCAAGAAACCUUAUUUUUCUAGGUAAAAUAGUUUUAGUAAUAAUUUUAGCAAAAACCAUAGCUUUAAAGAAAUGUUCAAAAUAACUUCCUAACGUGGAUUUUAAGAGGUUUGUCGACUUAUCUCAAGAAAAUAAUAUUAGUUACCCUUUUAUAAGGAAAAGUAUUUUAAGGAAAACUAUAAUAAACAUUUCUUCUACUUUUGUCAAAUUUUAACCUAAAGGACUCUUGAUUCUUCUAAGGAAAAGUAGACUAGUAGUAUAUUAGAUAUACCUCGACGUCUAUAAGCUUAAAAACUGAGUAGAAUCUUAUAGUUUCAAAAUUUUGAUUUUUAGGAUAUUGCGAGGACGCGGAAUUCGAUUUCCAACUUGAUAUCUGAACUCCACUCUUGGUGAGUGUCCCUGCCUGUUCUAUGUUUACCUGGUUAAAGUGCUUUCUUGACUCAAUACGUGAUAAUUUGCAAAACUAGUUUUUGAUCCAUCAAAAUGAGCAGUGUGUACUUUAUCGCACUAGCCGUUCGAGUGGUGACUUGCGUAAAUCAUUUUCUCGUGAAUCCAUAAAUCUAAAUGUAGUUACGUCGUUGGGUGAAUCCCUCGACGCAUGAAUCUAACUACCAUAAAUCUAAUCUAAAUGUAGUUACGUCGUUGGGUGAAUCCCUCGACGCGUGAAUCUAACUACCAUAAAUCUAAAUGUAGUUACGUCGUUGGGUGAAUCCCUCGACGCGUGAAUCUAACUACAAUAAUGUCGUUGGGUGAAUCCCUCGACCAAUCAUCUACGAGUAUAUCUCGAGUAUACUGCGUCCUUAGUUGGCGAGCGGGCCCGGGACAGGGGUAUGAACGGUGACGGGUUAGGAUUAAAAUGAGUGGAUCUACAUGGAUUAUAAGUAGUGAGAGUUGAUGGAGGGUCAACUACGAUAAAUGGUGAUCAAGCGAGGAAAGUGGCUCCUAAGAGCCCAUGUAUCCUACCUUGUGCUGUUAUCCGCUUUCCUAAUUGUUUAAAUUUGCUAUGUCAUUAACCGCUGUUUGUUAUUACGUGAUUGCAUGUUUUGGGGCACCACUGAGCAUUAACUCACCCCACGUUUAUUGUUUUCCUUAACAGGUUCUGGAAACUGAAAGUUGGAUGCUUACUUUUGUUUUCCUUUUGGAAUGUAUUUGAAUACUAUGACUUAUUCUGUGGGCUAUAAUGUGUUAAUUGGGAUAAUGUACUUUUCUUUUGUAUUGCCACUUGAAGCUGGAAAAUGUGUAAACCCUAAUUCGAUUGCUUGGCUUGUAAGUUUGUAUUAUGAAUUUAUGUGUUUAUCUAUUCGGUUUGGUACGACUUUAUACUUUGGUACGUGGCACGUGGGACGUUUAAGAGUCUCGACUGGUUAAUUUAUCAUUGCUAUCUCUGAAGUUAAUGUGGAUUUAAGGAAGAUCUUAUUCGGGGAAAAUUGUUUUGUAAUAGAUUAGGAUAUUCUUCGAAGGGAUUUGGGUUAGAAUGCUUGCGUGAGUCCUGGCGAGAGUUGGGCAGACGGCCCGCCAACCCUUUGGUUCGCCUCAGGGGGAAAUGGGGUCGCCACAGGCUAUUUCUCAGUCUAAAGAGCACCAAAUUGGAUGAUUCUUGAUGCAUUGGAAAACUAACUCAAAGCGUUACAAUUUCACAUUUUAUACAAGAGUUGGGUCAGCUUCCAUCAUCAAGAAAAUAUCAGGAGAUUUUGGUGCAAAAAUAGAGCAAUGAUGAAAUCUACCUAGAAUGAGCAAACUUGCAAAAGAGCAAUAUGUGGGUACAAUAUGCAAACUCAGGUCAUGUUUUGGAGGUCAUGUAUUCAUCAUUUUCAGUUGCAACUUGCUCUGCAACUUGUGCCCUAUUCGCACAACUUUCCAACACAAUUCCAGCAAGUAAUUUCAGCUGUAUCUGAUCAAGAAAAGUGUGAAAUCUUAGAGAAACAACUUUUGAGAGUUUCAAGAGUAAAAAAUGCCAACUAAAAACAACUCAUUUGGUUCUUAAAUUCUCUAUAAGUAGAGGCCUUUGGAAAACAAUUUCACAACUUCAAAAAGUUAGAGAAACUCCACAAAAAUAUAGUUUUCACUAGUUUUUCUUAGUUCAUUAAUAUAAUAUAUAUAGUAUAGUUCAUCCUUCUUAUAUUUGUAAUUAGAUUUGGAUGAAGAUUUGAAGAGCAAAAAUGGAGAGUUGGAUCUCAUGUGGCAAGGGUGAUUUCUCUCCUAUCACUUUCUGUUUUGUAUUUGAAUUCAUGUUUAGUUAUAAUACAAUUAUGGAUAUUGUUUUUCAUAUUUAGCUAAAGUUUAUGCCAUGAGUUAUGGAUAAACUUUCUAUAUCUUAUUAGUGACGUUUACCUGGUUAUUUGAUGAUAUUAUUUAGAGUAAGUUAUUUAUCACUUUUGCUUAUCUAAUCAUGAUUAACUAACCAUUAAUUGUGAUAAUUUUAAAGUGUUAAGUUUGUAAUGAAAAUUGAAAUUUAACACUAGUUCAAGGAAGUGAUAAACUUAAGGAGUACACUCACAAGAAUAGAGGUGCACCUCUGUGAUUUUAGUGACUUGUUUCAUGUAAUUUUGUAAAAGAAAUGAACUUAUAGUUAAUUUCAUAACCACGAGAGUAGGUGUAACUUAAUUACAAGUAUAGUUGAUUCACUACGAGAGUAGGUUUCACAUACAUUAGAAAAUUAUUCCUUAACUAGCCAAGAUAAUAAUAUUCAAUUAACUGAAAAUUUCAUUUGCAAGAGUAGUAAGAAAUUCCAUGUUGGAUCCUAAUCCAACAUUGGACUUAUAUGUGAAUAAUUAUGUGUUGCAAACUGUCAAUUAAGAUUCAAUCCAAUUAAAAUGAUCAAAUAUAGUUUGGUUUAAUGUAUCUAAUAGGGUAUCGACCUUUAAUGUGUAGAGAUUUAAGAACUCCUAUUUCUAUGAUGGGCUGAAAUAGGGUUCUAAAAGAUAACAGGAAUAUUACCUAUAAAUAGGGUUAUGGUUCCCAGAUCACACGUAUUAUUAUUUUUUGUCGUAUUUUCUAGUAUCACAAUAUAUAGUUCUUUCCUGAUAUCCCAUCGUCAGAAAAGAUAUCAGAGAGAAAUUAAAGGGCUCUCUCAAGGAUUAGCAAAUAUGUGUUAAUCUGGAAGGCCACCCCAAUAUCUUUGGAGGUUCAAAUAUUAGUUUGUAGAUAUGAAUUCAGGUACGCUUUCGCUAUUUUACUGUUAAUUUAUUUCUUAAUAAUCGCCAUAUAGAUUUUGAGUUUAAUAGGUGAUGGUUUUCAUCAAAUGUUAAAUUUAGAUAACCACCCUAACAAGUGGUAUUAGAGCCCAUAUGGUUGAUUAUUAGGAAAUAAUUUUUUUUAGUAAUUCAUAGUUUUAUUACUAUUGGUUCUGUUUUCAUGGCUACUAGCUGCAACUCUGAUGCUAUUAAAUAUAUGAUUAUUAUGUGUUCAAGUCUUGUUGAUUCACUAUUUUGAUCAUAUAUGUGUAUGAUUUUGGUUACUUCUGCCGCACUACAUGAAUUCAGAACAUGAUGCUUUUUGUCUUUGGCCUCUGAUUCAUAUAAAAAAAAAAAGAAAGAAAAAAAGGAAUUCGUGGUAAGAACUAUGAUGCUUUUGUCUUCGGUCAAAACAACUCAAUGCUUUUGAUUUCAUAUGUCUUGAUACGGUUUUCAAUCUAUGUUCACUAAUUGGUGAAUCAAGUGAUGAUUUACGUGGGACCACAAGCUACUUGAUUUCUGGUUUCGAGAAGUGGUUCGUCCUUUUUCCCACUAUUAAUGAUUAAAUUGACAAAGCAUGAUGCAAUCCAGUAGUUGUUUCAUGUGCUCAACCUUAAAUGGCCGAGAGUUUCUCAAGUAAAUUAUUGACAUGGUGAUUUAUGUCUUGAAACAUGGAUCAAAUUUUCUUGUUCUGAUUCAACCGUAAUUUAUAUUCCCUUUUGUCUUGUUUCGGAGUAUAAUCAGAUAUACAUAUAUUUUUAUGUUAAGGAAAUUAGGAUAUCUUUAAUGUAAGUGAAUCCUAAAAAAAUUAAUAAGACAUUUAAACCCAUAAAAUUCAUAUAUUAGGCCCAUUAAAUAUAAAGUUUUAUAAAACAUUUAUGGACUUCAAGGAAAUUUAGGACUUAAGUGAUGAAUUUGGAUCAAAUUAUGGAUAUGGACUUUUUGUCCAAUAAGUCUUGAUCCAAUUGACUGGUUUGAUCAGAUUUGACUGGAUUGACCAGGUUUGACCAUGUUUUGACCAGAGUUGACCAAAGUUGACUUUAAUCAAAAUUUUGUUUAAUUUGUAUAAUUUUAAAUUUGAAUAUUGGUAUGAUUAUAUAUAUAUUUUGGAAUAAAUUAAUUGAAAUAAUAUGCCACCAAAGUGACCUCUAUUAUGAAAAUUAAUUUAUUUUAAAAUAUAAUUAGUUGGGUACCUGUAAUUUUAUGAAUAUUGAUCGGCCCAAAAGAAGGUCAAUAUUUAAUAAAAUUACAUGUGCAUUUGUGGUAAUAAAUACGUGAUAAUUAUUUGAAUUUUACAUGUGAUUUUUAAAUUGACCCAAAGAAAAAUUUAUUUUUUGACAUGUUAUUAUUAUCAGUAUUUGUUAUUACACCAAGAUACCACUUAAAAGUUAAUAUUUUUGUCCAAAAAAAGAAUAUUAAUGAAACAUCGGUAUUUUGAAAUGAGAUUACCUUUAUUUAAAUUUAUUAUUGUUUUGGUUUAUGUGAACUUGUUUUAAUUAUUUUAUGUUUUCUGUUCAGUUGCAAAUGAUCUUACGAAUAUUACUAUCAACAUUAAUAAUAUUUCUAUGUUGAAUGACACAAAUUUCAAGUCCUAGAAAUAAAAUCUCUUGAUUUGGAGUAAUAGAUCUCGACCUUGCGUUAAAGGAUGAUUCUCCCCUGCCUCUUAUAGACCAGAGUACCUCUGAUAAAAAGAGAAAUAAUGAGAGGUGGGAGGGAUUAAAUCGCUUGUGUCUGAUGAUCAUUAAAAAGGCCGUUCCAGAAGCAUUCAGAGGAAUAAUAUCAGAAACGAUAGUAACCGUUAAAGAGUUCCUUCAACAUUGAAAAAGGAUUUGUCAAGAAGGUUAAAAUUAGUGCGCUCUUGAUACGCCUAAUUUCAAUGAAAUUUAGUGGUAAAAGUAAUAUCAGAAAGUACAUUAUAGAAAUGUCUCAUCUUAUUUCAAAAUUAAAUGCACUUAAAUUGACACUCUCUGAAGAGUUACUAGUGCACUUGAUUUUAAUACCUCUUCCUACACAGUUUAGUUAGUUUAAGGUGAGUUACAACUGUCAAAAGAAGAUUUUGUCUCUAAAUGAACUCAUCACACACUGUUUAGAGAAAAAGGAAAUGUUGUAGUAAGAUCAGACAGAAAGUGCCCAUCCGGUGUCAACCACUAAUAAUAAAAGUAAGAGAUUUAAGAGAAAAAUGGAAAAAAGAGCUGCAGGUACAGUGCUACAAAAAAAAUAACAAAAGAAAUCAGAUGAUCAGGGAAAGAAUAGUUGUUUCUUCUGUAGAGUUAAAGGGUAUAAAAAGAAGCAUUACACCAAUUAUCACGCUUGGCGUGUUAAGAAAGGUAUGUUUCUUAAUUUGAUUUGUUCUGAAAUUAAUUUAAUUUCGGUACAUAGAUAUAUAUGGUGGUUAGAUUCUGGUGCAAUAACUCACAUCAGUGUGUCUAUGCAGGGUUGCUUGAAUUGCUGAAAACCUAAUGAUAAUAAAAGAUAUAUCUACGUGUGCGAUAGAAAAACAGUUUAAGUUGAGACAAUUGAAGUUUUUAGAUUAUUGUUAAAGAUCGGAUUUUAUUUGGAUCUUAAUAAGACAUUUGUUGUAUCGUCUCUAUUUUUACUUUGGAUAAAUUUGGUUAUUUUUGUUCAUUUAAAAAUGAAAAAUUUGAAUUGUUUCAUGAUUCAAAAUUGGUUGAUUAUGGUUCUUUAAUGCACUACAAUAAUCUAUAUUUAAUUGAUACGAUUAUCUAAUUUAAUGAAUCUCUGCAUUUGAGUACUAGAGCAGUAAAGAGAAAAUUAAUCAAUGAGAAUUCAGCUGCAUUAUGGCAUAAGAGAUUGGAUAUAUCUCCAAACGGAGAAUAGAAAGAUUUGUGUCAAAUAAAAUUCUGGACUCCUUAAAUUUCACAGAUUUUGAUUAUUGUAUUAACUAUAUAAAGGGAAAACAAACCAAUAAAAGGAGAUUUGAAACCAAUAAAUCCACAAACGUCUUAGAACUUAUAUAUACAGAUAUCUGCGGACUAUUUCCUAUAUCUGCUUGCAAUGGUCAAUAAUAUUUUGUAACGUUCAUAGACGAUUUUUCAAGAUAUGGCUACAUAUAUCUCAUUUCAAAAAAAUCACAGUCACUGAACGUGCUCAAAAAUUUUAAGGCUGAAGUUGAGAAUCAACUCAACAAAAGAAUUAAAAGCGUCAGAUCUAACCGUGGUGGUGAGUAUUAUGGUAGAUAUGACAGUUCAGGUAAAUAACAUCCAAGACCAUUUGCUAAAUACCUAAAGGAAUACGGUAUCGUCCAUAAUAUACUAUGCCGGGUUUUGAUAAGUGACUAAUUUACGUAAUAAUUAUAUGAUAUUUUAUAUUAUUUUUAGUCACUUUAGUUAUGUUAUUGGAAGAAAAUAAAUCAUUUCGAUUAUAAUUGGUGAAAAAUGCUUUUAAAUGAUUAAAUGAGGUUUUUAUCACUUUUUACUUGAAUUUUGUGCAUUUUGACAGUUUUGACAUAUUUUAGUAUUUCAGCUAUAAUAUCAGUUACAGUAAUCGGAUUGAGAUGAUUUUUGAACCAAAUUGAAGAUAAAAGAUAGAUCUACAACUUUGGUGAAUAUAUCAAAAUCCAGUUUGAAGGUUUUCUAAAUCAAAAAACCGAAUUACAGUAGUCAAUUUAUAUUGGUCGAAGCUGAAAUAGAGCAUUGAGCAGUCAAUGGUAUUUCAGUCAUUUCUCAGGCUACAUAAAUCCAAAUGAGGUGAUUCUUCAUGCAUUGGAAAGUUAACUCAAAGGGCUACAAGUUUUAUAUUUUAGUCAAGAGUUAAAUCAGUUUCUAUCAUCAAGAAACGUUCAGUUGAAUUUGACGCAAAAUCAGACCAGAGCUAGAAAUUGAACAGAAAUUGCACAAAAAGUCACUAUAGCAAUCCCGCCGAAAUUUGACCGAAUUUAUGGCUGGAUUUCUGGCCGAAUUGUGGUCAGAGAAGGCUGUUUUUUACGUGAAAAACUCAAUUUUACCUCCAACAAGUCACAUGUAAUACCAGACAUGUAACAAGCACUUUGUAGCUGUAAAAGGGAGGUGUAAGGCUCAUUUCUUGACUACCUUUUAUUUUUAUAUAGCCAAAUCCAUUGCAAGAUUGAAGAGAGACAUACGAGAGAAGCUUGGAAGUGCAGAAAUGUAACUCUUCCAUUUUCUGUGUGUUAGAUUAGUUUAGUAUAGAGUAGUAUAGUUCAUCCACUCUUGUAUAUUGACUAGAUUAGGAUGAAGAUGGAAAUGAAGAAGGAGGAGUUGUAGCUCAAGUGACAUGGGUUACCUCUUCUUCAACUCUUUAUCUUUUGAAUUAGAUUAUUAAGUAUGGUUAACAUGCAAGUUCUGGAUUUUGUGUUUAUUAUAUAUCUUUAAAGUUUAUGCCUUAGAUUUAGUUGAACUUUCUAUGAUUGUUAGUGUUUAUUAUUUAGUUAUUUGAUGUUAUUAUUUGAGCAAGUUAUUUAACACUUUAGCUCUUUAAAUCAUGAUUAAUCUGGUACCGUUAAUUGUGAUUAUCUAAGAUUUUAUUUUUGCAAUAAAAAUUAAAAUUUAACACUGGUUCAAGAAUGCUAAACAUAGGGAGUACACUCACAAGAGUAUAUAUGCACUUGUGUGGUUUUAGUGAUUAAUUUCAUGUAAUUUCAUUGAAAAAUGAACUUGUAACUGAUUUCAUAAUCAUGAGAAUAGAUAUGGAUUAGUUAUGAGUAUAAUUGAUUCACUACGAAAGUAGAAUUCAUAUGCAUAAGGAAAUUACACCAUAAUUAACCUAAAUAGUAGUACUCAAUGAUUCAAAUAUAGCACUUGCAUGAGUAGUUAGGGAUACCACAAUCUAAGGAGAUUUUCAAUUGUUAUUUUGCAUAAGUUCAGUAGGUUUCAUUUCUUAUAAUUCAUUGAUAAUAUAAAUAAUAGAGAAAUUUUGUAGUGCCGGUAAUUGCAAUCUUCCCUGUGGGAUCGACCCUUAAUACUCUAUACUCGCUUACGAUUCGUAUACUUGCGAUAAAUUACGUGUGGGGUAUUUAGGAGUUUAUAAAUGUAAAACUUGAUUGAGAUGAGUUUAAUGUUAUAUGUAUACCCCGUGUACGUCAGGUUCACCCACUAUGAAUGGUGUAACUGAAAGACGAAAUAGAACGCUUAAAAACAUGAUAAGAAGUAUGAUAUGUCAUUCUACCUUACCAGAGUCACUCUAGGGAGAAGCAAUUAAGACUGCAGCAUAUAUCCUUAACAGAAUCCCAAACAAAGUAACUAUCAAAACCCCUUAUGAUUUUUGGACAGGGAAAAAGUCCAGUUUACAGCAUCUACAUGUUUGGGGGUGUCCAGUUGUAUAGGCCAAAUGAAAAGAAAUUGGAUUCAAAAAUAGUUAGUUGUUAUUUUAUUAAAUACUUUGAAAGAUUCAGGAGUUACAAGUUUUAUGAUUCCACGACUAAAUCAAUUUUUAAGAUAGGAAAUGUCCGAUUCUUUGAGGAUGUCGAGUUUGGGGAAGAAAAUACAGUAAUGGAUAUUGUCUUUAAAAAGGAAUACAUUAAUACUCCCACUGGUGUCAUUGAUCUUGUUCAAGAUCCUAUUUUUGAAUUUGAUCAUGACAUGAUAAAUUUAAAUAAUGUCAAAAAAUAAACUGUUAUAGAAGAACAAACUCUUCUUCCCCAAAAACUAGUGCCAUUAAGAAGAUCCACUAGAAAAAAGAGAAGUGCAGUGCGAGAUGAUUACAUUAUUUUUCUCCAAGAACAUGAGGAUGAUUCUGGAUUGAUGGAAGAUAAUCAAUCAACUUCUGUUAGGCCAUUGAAAGUUCAAAUUCUCAAAAGUGAAUCGAUAUCAUGAAUGAGGAGAUUAAAUCCAUGAAGGACAAUAACGUUUGAGAUCUUGUCCUAUUGCCAAAAGGAGCAAAUCCAUUAGUUAUAAAUGGACAUUUAAAAUCAAAAGAGAUUCGAAAGGCAAUGUGGAAAGAUACAAAAGCUUGUUUUGUCGGCAAGAGAUUUACACAAAAAGAAGGUAUCGACUAUAAAGAAACCUUCUCUCCAGUCUCUUCAAAGGACUCUUUUAGAAUUAUCAUGACAUUAAUGGAGCAUUUCAAUCUUGAGUUACAUUGGAUGGAUGUAAAUACAGCUUAUCUCAAUGGUAACAUUGAUGAAACGAUUUAUAGGUGCAACCAGAAAACUUUGUAUCAGGAGAUCCAAAAAAUAUGAUUUGUAAAUUUAAAAAAUCCAACUAUGGGUUCAAACAAGCGUCUUGACAAUGGUAUUUCAAGUUUCAUCAAGUGAUAAUCUCAUUUGAUUUUGAAAUGAAUUUAGUAGAUGAUUGUAUAUACCAUAAAUCCUGUGGGAACAAGUAUAUUUUUCUGAUAUUGUACGUUAACGACAUUUUGCUUGUCAGCAAUGAUAUGGGUCUAUUGCAUGAAACUAAAAAAAUUCUAACUAAGAAUUUUGAGUUGAAAAAUCUUGGUGAUGCAUCUUUUGUGUUAGACAUAUAGAUACAUCGGGAUCGCUCACGGGAUAUUUUAGAACUAUGACAAAAGGACUAUAUCGAAAAGAUUCUUAAAAGAUAUGGUAUGCAAAAUUGUAAAUCAGGUGACACUCUUGUGAUUAAAGGAGAUAAAUUUAGUCUUGAACAGUGUCCUAUGAAUGCUUUUGAGGAAAAAGAGAUGCAAAAGAUUUCUUAUGUGUCAGCAAUAGGGAGUCUAAUGUAUGCUCAAGUAUAUACGCGUCCGAAUAUUGCGUACAUUAUUGGAAUGUUGAGUAGAUAUUUAAGCAAUUCUAAAUUAGAUCAUUGGAAAACAACUAAAUAAGUCUUACGGUAUUUACAAAAAAUAAAAUAUUACAUGCUCACGUAUUGAAAGUCAAAUGAGUUAGAGAUUAUUGGGUAUACUGAUUCUGAUUAUGCUGGAUGCCAAGAUAUUAUGAAGUCAGCGUCAGGCUAUAUUUAUUUGUUGGUUGGGGGUGUCAUAUCCUGAAAGAGUGCUAAACAGUCCUUUAUAACAUCUUUUACUAUGAUUGCAGAAUUUAUAGCUUUUUAUUAUGUGUCCAACCAUGGAAUUUGACAGCGAAACUUCGUCAUAGGAUUACGUAUAGUGAAUAGUAUUAAAAAACCACUCAAAAUAUUUGUAACAAUAAAUCAGCAGUCCCAUAUUCCAAUAAUAGCAGGAGCUUGACGAAAUCUAAACAUAUAAAUAUCAAAUUCCUGACUAUUAAAGAAUAAGUACAGAGUGAACAGUCAUCGAUAGAGCAUAUCGAGAUAGACUCCAUAGUUGCGGAUCCGCUUAUUAAGGGAUUGUCAUCCAAAAUAUUUCAUGAGCAUACUGCUCGUAUGGUUGUCAUUUUAUUAAAUGAUAUACAAUUUUAGUGGGAGUUUAUUAUUUUAAAUGCUCAUAUGAUAUUUUUCGAUUGUUAAUGAUUUAAGGAUAUUUGAUGAAUAAAUAAAGUUUGGAUUUAUUUAUACCCUGAUUUUGAUAUGAUUUGAUCUCGUGAAAAUUUAAGAUAGACUUGUUGGAAAUAGACAUGUUUUGAUCACAUUACAUGAAAUUUUAAUGCUACACAUCUACAUCAUGAUUCAUGUCAUUCAAUUAUAUCAAUAUAUGUGACCAUUGAUGGGUCAAGUUACGAAAUUGUAACAAAUGCCACUUUGAUCCUAUGUUGGUAUGAUUGAUAGACCGAAUUGGUUAUAGAUACAUUAUGAUAAACUUAGGGAAUACACUCACGAGAGUAGAGGUGCACUUUUGUGAUUUUAGUGACUUGUUUCAUGUAGUUUUUUUUUUUUAAAAAUGAACUCAUAGUUAAUUUCAUAACCACGAGAGUAGGUGUAACUUAGUUACAAGUAGGGGUGGGCAAAAAUACCCGCUGACCCGAAAAUCCGAGAGAUCCGACCCGAUCCGCACCGAAAAAUAGGAUAUCCAAUCCGAUUUCUCUUAGCGGAUCAGAUAGGGUCGGGUAUCCGGAACAUUCGGAUACGGGUACGGAUCGUAAAAGCCAAAACCCGCGGGUACCCGACCCGGGGGUAUAAUAUAUAAAUAUUAAAAAAUAUAGGGGCAAUUUUAUAAUUUUUUAAGUUAUUAACCCUAGGUUCCUAACCUUCAGAUUUCAUCCUCUGCUUCAGCCGUCGACACUCUUCACUCUUCAAUGGCCGAUGCUCUUGUCUCUCAAACCUAGGGCCGAAAACUACCGUUAAAACUCCUCAAACUGCCUGAUUGAAUCGAAUCCCUUUCUCUUCAGCCCUGUUUCUCCGUUGUCGUCCUUUUCUACCUUCGACUUCGAGUAAAGGGACGCUGCCAAAAGGUCGCCUGACACCGCCGACGCCGGAGCGGGUGGUUUAGCUAUCAAGGUUUUUCAAUAACUAUUUUCUUUUAAGUUCAAUUCUUUCUGCAAAACUAUUCUGCAUCUAUGUGUAUUGUGUACGUCUAUGCAUUUGUCGAAUUGGCUACAUGAAUUCUGAUCUUUCGUCCAAAUCGAAACUGGGUUGUACAAUUAAGAUUAGGAAUUGCUGGACCCAUACAGAAAAAAGAAAAAAAACCAAAAUGGGGGUCGGCAAUCGGCAUAAAUGGUACAGGUACGGAAACAAAUUCUGGCCAUAAUUUUCCAUGGAGAUACUCUCAUGGCUUUGACAUUUGAGGUCUUAGACCAACUCUCAUAGGCUAGUUGUUCAUUUGCAGAGAGUUUUACUUUACAUGGCUUUUUCUGUACUUUUGGUGGACUGUUGCACGCAUAUGCGUAAGGCUUAGGUUAUGUUUUGAAAUUCAAGAACGGUGGGAGAAAUUGUGCCUAAGGUUCUGAAAAAUAAGAACAUACUGCACUUUGUCCUGAGUUUCUAAUUAAGAAAAAAUAUUCAAUUAAAUGCUUCACAAGUGUGUCCAUGUACCGUAAUCAGCUCUAAUGUCUACAAGACGAGUUCAAACCAAAAAUUCAGAUUAAACCAAAAACUUUAAGUUGUAAAUUACACAGUUAUCCAACUAAGGUUUAAAGAGAUAUGAUGUACCAUAAAAUUUACUGAUUCUAAUUCUCAAGAAUAUUAUUGAUUCUUGCAUAUAGAUACUAAGACAUGAACAAACACUGGAAACUCUACAUCGUUCAUUAUUUUCCUCCAGUGCAAUGUAGCUGCAUAAUUACUUUAGCUUUUUUGUCUAACAUAAUUCAAUUCAAUGUGCAAAUUCUAAGAUAAUACCUCUAUACCUGCUGAAGUUGUAAUAGUGUAAAACUCUUUUUUUUUUUUGAGAUUAUUGGUUUGCCUUUUCUUUUCAUACAUUGGACAUUUUUCCCCCUUUGGGUUUAGCUACACUUUGCACUCAAUAUUUAAAUUAGCAGGCCAAGCAACUGAGGAUUGUGAGCAAUUUUUUGUUAUUGUUCUUAAGAUUAUUCCAACUGCCCUUUUCUUUCUAAAAUGAAUCUGCACAUGGUUUUAUAGGAGUUUCUGAGCUAUGUAUUAGCUGCGCAUAUGGUAGAGAAGUGGGAUUUUCAUUUGAUUUGUUUUUUGAAUUUUUCAGAUGUCAAGUACAGGGGAUAAUACAGCUACUACAGCUGCAAGCCCAAAUGUUGAUCAUUCAUCAUCAAUGGAUCCAAAAAUUGUUGUUGGAGCUUCUGAAACUGAGACAAGUCAAGUACCACCUCCUCUAACAUUCGAGACAAAAGUGUCUACCAAGAGCAGUAGGUCUUGGGUUUGGGAGCAUUAUGCAGUUGUUACAGGUACGGAAACAAAAGACAAGAAAGCUGCUUGUAACUAUUGUCACCAAUUGAUUGCCUGUGCAAGCAAAAAUGGUACUACUUCUUUGAGUAAUCACCUUCAUAGGUGUAAAAAAUAUCCGUAUAAUAAUACGGAUAAAAGGCAAAAGACGCUGGAGUUUAAAGCAAAAGAGGGAGGGGGAAAAGCAUUAACAACCCAUAUGUUUGAUCAAGAAUCAUGUAGGAGAAUGUUGGCUAGGAUGGUGAUUAUAGAUGAACUACCUUUUAAAUUUGUGGAAAGGGAGGGAUUUCUGGAUUUUUGUCAGUUUAUGCAGCCACGGUUUGAAAUGCCAUCACGUAGAACUUUAACUAGAGACUGCCAUAAGCUUUUUUCAGAUGAGAAGAAAAGUUUGAAGGCAUACUUUGAAACUUUAUCCUCACGAAUUUGUCUCACCACUGAUGCUUGGACAUCCAUUCAAAAUCUGAAUUAUUUGUGUUUGACAGCUCACUUUAUUGAUGAUAAAUGGAAAUUGCACAAAAAGAUUUUAAAUUUCUGUCCUAUUACAAGUCAUGCGGGUGAAGUUAUUGGUCGGACAGUAGAAAAAUGCUUGCUUGAUUGGAAAAUUAGUAAAGUUUUGACUGUUACGGUAGACAAUGCUAGCUCAAAUGACACUUGUUUGCAAUAUUUGAGAAGAAGGCUUAUUAAUUGGAAAGGUACUGUCUUAAAUGGAGAAUACUUGCAUAUGAGAUGUGCUGCCCAUGUUUUGAAUUUGACGGUUAGGGAGGGAUUGAAAGACUUGGAAGACUCUAUUGUUAGAAUUCGAUCAGCUGUGAGAUAUGUUAGGUCUUCACUUGCUAGAGCUCAAAGAUUCAAAUCUUGCAUAGAAAAAGAAAGAAUCGAAAGUAAAAGUCUUGUAUGCCUUGAUGUUGAAACUAGGUGGAACUCCACAUUUUUAAUGUUAGAGGCUGCUCUAAAAUUUCAAAAGGCAUUUGAGUUGCUAGAAACUGUGGAUAGCAAAUAUGUCGAAGAGUUAACUCCACAAAGUGAGAAUGAUACUCGUAGGAGUUCUAAGGUGAGGGGUGUGCCAACUGAAAUGGAUUGGGAGUAUGCCAAAGAUUUAUUGCCUUUUCUUCAAAUUUUUUAUGAUUCUACUGUGAAAAUGUCAGGCUCACGUUAUGUGACAGGAAAUGUAUAUAUGAAUGAAAUUUUUGGCAUUAGUGGUCUUCUUAAUUCAUUUCAAGAAAGUGAUGACUUUGGUUUGUCAACUAUGGCUGGGAAUAUGAAGAAAAAAUAUGAUAAAUAUUGGGGUAAUGUGGAAAGGAUUAACAUAUUGAUUCUGAUUGCUGUUGUUCUUGAUCCCCGGCAUAAACUAAGUUAUGUUCAAUGGGCAAUUGAUGAGGCAUAUGAUCCUAAGAAUGCUGAAAUGUUAAAAGUUAAGGUGGAAAAAGUGUUACAUUCCCUAUUUGACUUUUAUUCUGCUGAAAAAUCACCUCAUAAGGAAGUAAUAAGUCAAAAUCAGUUGAGGGAAAUGGAUAAAAUGGAUGUUGAUGCAAUUACAGUUAAAGGGGCAUCAGAUUACAUGCAUGCAAAGUAUUCUCAAAAGGCUGAUACAUUGGAUAGCACUCACAAUAAAACGGAAUUGGACAUCUAUUUGAUGGAAAUGAAGGAAGAUUUUCACAGUCCAAACUUUCACAUAUUGGAUUGGUGGAGAGAUAAUGCUCAUAGGUUCCAAAUUCUUGCUGCGAUUGCUAGAGAUGUAUUAGCUAUUCCGGUGUCUACUGUUGCCUCCGAGUCUGCUUUUAGUACGGGAGGGCGUGUGUUGGAUUCUUUUCGAAGCUCUUUAACUCCAAGAAUGGUGGAGGCUAUAAUUUGUGGACAAGAUUGGCUUCGCAAGGGUAUUCAACCAAUUGAUUUGGAAGAAAGUAUAACUGAACUUGAAGAAAUGGAAUCGGGUAAUACUUUUCAUAUCUUGUCAAUUGUUAUCAUUGCAUUGCAAAUUUUCUUAUUCAUUUGAGUUUCAACUUGUGCUAAUAUAUUUCUUGGUUGCUUUUAUUUUUGGAAUUUUUUUUUUCAGGUUUGACAAUGGAGCAUUCUAUUAUUAAUAUUGAAGAUUGAUGAUUCUUGAAGAUUGUGCUCCUUCAUGUGUUGUAGAAGGUUGAGAUUGUUGAAACAUUUGAGGUUGUUGAAACUGUCAUGGCAUGGCUAGGGGAGGAAAAUGAAGACAGCUUCUUGAUUUAUGCCUAGUCAAUGCAUUAUGCCAUGUUUGCUGGAUUUGAGAAUGUCUAUAUAGUGUACAUUUUUCUCAUUUAUAUGCCCUUUUUGGAAGUUAUGUAUCAGAGUAGAUAUUUCUAACUUUAUGAUUUAGUGUGGAACUACUGCUACUGAUCAUUUUUUAGAUUUGAAUAUGCUUUGUCUUUGUCUAGUUUGAAUUUGAAUGAUGUUGUUGCCUUUUUUUUUUGUUGAAUGAUGCUAUCGUCCAGCAGGUUCAUCUUAUGUCUUAUGAGUUUUAGAGAAAAAUUGCAUUCUUUAAAUAGGGGCGGGUACCCUAUGACCCGCCCCUAUUUUUCGGGUAUCCGAGGAUCGGGUACCCGAGGAAGUUCGGAGCGGAUUAGGGUCAAAAAAAUAGUGACCCGAUAUGUUAGGGUCGGGUCAGCCAAUUAGAGUUCGGGGCGGGUACCCGACCCGUGCCCACCCCUAGUUACAAGUAUAGUUGAUUCACUACGAGAGUAGGUUUCACAUACAUUAGGAAAUUACGCCUUAACUAACUAAGAUAAUAAUAUUCAAUUAACUGAUAAUUUCAUUUGCAAGAGUAGUAAGGAAUUCCAUAUUGGAUCCUUAAUCCAACAUUAGAUUUAUAUGUGAAUAAUUAUGUAUUGCAAACUAUUAAUUAAGGUUAAACCCAAUUAAAAUGAUCAAAUAUAGUUUGGAAUUAAUGUAUCUAAUAGGAUGUGGGCCUUUAAUGUGAAAAAACUUAAAGGCUCCUAUUUCUAUGAUGGGUUGAAAUAGAGUUCCAAAGGCUAACAGGAAUGUUACCUAUAAAUAGCGUUAUGGUCCCAAGUCACACGUAUUAUUAUUUUUUAUCGUAUUUUAUAGUACCACAAUAUAUAGUUCUUUCCUGAUAUCCCAUCAUUAGGAAAAUAUCAAAGAGAAACUAAAGAAUUCUCUCAAAAAUUGGCAAAUACGUGUUGACGUGGAAAACCAUCCUAAUAUCUUUGGAGAUUCAAAUAUCAGUUUGUCGAUAUGAAUCCAGAUACGCUUCCGCUAUUUUACUGUUAAUUUAUUUCUUAAUAAUCGCCAUAUAAAUUUUGGAUUUAAUAGGUGAUGGUUUUCACCAAAGAUUAAAUUUAGAUAGCCACCUUAACAUCCAUACUUUUAGGAGUUUUCUAUUGUUAUUUUUAGUACUUUUGUUCCAUGUUUGUAGCAUAGAUUUAAUCUUUUACAUUUGUGAUAGUCUAAAUAAUAAAAAAGUUCGAAAAACAUCGAUAACUAACAAUCUUCUUUGUGAGUUCAACCCUUAAUACUCUAUACUCAAUUUCGACUCGUAUAUUUGCGAAAAAAAUUAUGUGUGGGAUAUUUAGAACUUUAUAAAUGUAAAAUUUGAUAGUGAAUGUGUUAAUUGUUGUGUGUACACCUUGCACUCAUCACUUUCCUCUAUUGUUGAUGCUUUGAAAGCGUGGAGGAAUGGUUGCUGAGCUUGCUUCUCUCAAGCAUUAAUUGUCCAAUUGAUCUAUCCUUCUUAUUACCUAAAAAUGCUUGCAAACACUCAAAAGCAAAUGUAGUCAACAAGAAUAGCUGAAUCGACACAUACAUAAUUUAAACUCGAAAACAAUACACAAUAUCUCACAAGACCCAUAAGACUCAACACACACACACACACACACACACACACACACACACACACAAAAGAAACUAGACUCAACAAAUUCACAAGAAAAAUGAGUAAAAUAUCUAAACUAAUAAAGUCAUUCUUCGUACCGAUAUUGUUACAAAUCUUCCCCAACAAUGGCACUGAUAACUUAAGUUAGGGGUAUGCAUAUAAUAAUAAACUCAAUCCAGAGUCAAAUUUUAUGUUUUAUAAAUUUUCAAAUACUCAACACGCUAUUUUUCACAAGUAUACGAGUCAUGAGCAAGUAUAGAGUAUUAAGAGUCAAACCUAUAGGGAAGAUGGUCUAAUGCUAACACUACUAAAACUUCUCUAUUAUCUAGAAUCUCGAAAAAUUAAGAAAAAUAAUCUAAGCUGCAAAAAGGUAGAGAAAUUGAAAUGAAAACUCUCCAAGUUUUGGAAUCUCUAUUUACUCAUGCUAGUACAACUCCCCAAUUAAAUGAAUACCAAAACCUUCACUAAGUAAUGAUGUAAUUUCCUAAUGUUCAUAAUAUCUACUUUCAUUAGUGUACCAACUAUACUUAUAGUUAAUUUAUACCUACUUUCAUGAUUAUGAAAUCAACCAUAAGUUCAUUUACUCUUAUACAAUAAUAUGGAACAAAGGCACAAAAGUGUAUCUCUACUUUCAUGAAUGUACAAUCUAGGUUUAACAUUUUCAUGAACUGGUGUCAAAUUUCAAUUCUUAUUAGAAAUCUAACACAUUGAAAUGAUCAUAAUCAAUGGCCAAUUAAUCAUAAUUAUAAAAAAAAAGUUCCAAAUAACUCAAUCAAGAUAAUAGCAUCAAUUAGCCAAACCAUCAAUACAUAGCAUUCAUGGAUGAUUCAACCAAAACCCAAGGCAUAAAUUUUAAAGUAACAUCACAAACAUAAGAUCCAAUCCUUGUAUUAACAGAACUUAGAAGUCAAUACAAAGAUCAAGAGGUGGAAAGAAGAAAACCCUUAUCAAUAGAGUCUUUGAGCGUCUCUUUCUUCAUCUCCUUUGGUCUUCUUGUUAAACUAAUGUGAGAAUAGAUAAACAAAAACUAGAAUAUACUAUACUAUUGUACACUAAAACAAGAAGAAAUGAAGAGAACUACAUUUGAUAAGGGAUUGUGUCUUGCCUCUAAGAGCAAGACACAACCCUUUGGCUGUUCUUCUUUUCUCUCAAACUAACUAAAACUAAAGCUUCUUAAAACUAGAAGAACUAAGUACUAUAUAUUCUUAGUCUUGCUUUUUGGAGCCAAAAGGUCAAUAAGAGAAGAUUCUAGAACCCCUCAAUACAACUGCACUUCAUCCCUUUGUGUCCCAUCAAGAAUGGAGAAGAAAUAAAAAGCCAAGCAAGUUGGCAAGUUGUAGCUGACAAGAAAUGCUCGGGGUUUUCUUAGAAACCAUGCAGGAUUUGUGUAGGAUCCCUCGAGCAAUUCUAUAGCAAUUUGUCUUCCCCUAUUUUUGUUGCUUGAAUUGAAUUUUCUACCUACAAUCCCUUGCAGAAACCACCAAAACCAUUGACGGGUUUCUCUUCCUCAGUUUUUUUAUGACUUUUCAUUCUUCAUCUUUUCAAGCACUUGAGUUGUACCACUUCUUUUAACCAUUGUUGUGAUUUCUCAAACCUCUAAUCAUUACCUUGUUAGUCCACCAUUUCACUCCCAAUUCAGGUUGGUCAUUUUACCCUACAAAAAUAAAGAGAUUUUGUGAGUAAAAUAACUCAUCACAACUAUUUCAUCUAUCAAUUCAAGGUGCAAAUUGGGAGCUAAAAUGAGCAACUUAUACCAUUUAACUUCACAAAUUGACACAAAGCAAUUUAAAGUGCCUAGGAAAAUAUCCGUAACUUAAACUCUUAUUGGCGUAAAUAAAUAUAUAAGGGAACACAAUUAUUCCUUAUUUUGUUGGUGUAAAAUUCCUUUUCUUUUCAAAAAUAGACUAUUUGAACUACAGAUUUAAUAGAGAACAAGAAGAAUUUUGGUGCAAAAAGUAAUCAAAUUUUUAAUUAUUUAUUUUAUUUGAAAGUUUUUGUGUAAAUUCUACUGGGAACGCAAGCACACAAAGAAAUAAGAAAUCUUGAUAUGACCAAUCAUUUAGGUUAUAAGUAUGUUCUAAGUAUGGAUUAAUAUGUCAACCAUCAAUCUCUAAUAGGUUACUAAUAAGUUAAUCAUCUUGACCCAUCGAUUGACCCAAUAUGACCCACAUAUAUGUCAUAAUCUUGUUGAGCUAAUUGUGAUACAAAUAUUUUUGUGUCAUGUUUCGAUCAGGUUUUCCCCGUAUCAUGUGAUAACUGACUAUCAUAUGCUAUGGAAGACAUUUGAUGUUACUUUUAGUCACUUUUGCAAUGUUAUAAGAAGAAAAUGGUCCAUUUUUGCUAGAAUUGAUUCUAAAUGCUACUUAGUACUUAAAUAAGAUUUUUGCCCCUAUUACUCGCAAGUUUUUGGUUGUUUUGUAGGAGUUGGAAUGGACUUCAUUUUAAACAAGAAAUAAGUUUGUAUUAUUUUAAUUGAAAUCUUAUAGUUUGUGAGGAUGGUAAGUUUCAAAGGUGGUUGAGACACAAAAAUAAGAAAAUGAUAAAACUUAUCGAAAGAGAAAGUCGGUUCAUAUCUGUUCCAAGAAUCCUUGCAAGGAUUGCUAGAGGGAUUCAAUGCAAAAUUUUUUGGCGAAAUCCAAGAAUCUUGCUAAAAUUCUAGAGCAAUUGCAAGAGAGAUUCUAGUCAAAUAUUGUGGUUACAACUUGCACAACUUGAUUUUAACUCUAUUUUUUAUAAGCAUGUAUUUUUUGUAUUUUAAGUGUGUUUUAUUCAUUUGUAUUGCUAAUUAACUAGAUUUCUAGUGAAUUAUGUAUUUUGUGGUUCAAAGUGUGAAAAAUUGGAUUUCAAUGUGUUCAAGUGGCGAAUACCUCAUGUUUUUGUAGAUUUUAAUGAUUCAAUCAUCAAAUGAAAUGAAUUGAGAAGAUAUUUUGAUGAUUGUUGAUUAUUUGAAGUGAUUUACAGAGAAUAUGAAGUGUAAAAUGUUCAAAAGAUGAAAUGCAAUCAAGUAUAAAAGAAGAAAUGUUUGAUAGCUUUGACACCUUUUGAUAUUUUGGCUAUCUCUUGAGCAAAAAGUAUCAAAUUGAGAUGAUUCUUGAGGCAUUUUGUAGCUAAGACAUGAUUUAAAAUUUUGAUGAAGUCAUCAAAAUCUAGUUCAUGCAAUUUUUUGGUCAAAAAGUCAAAAUACAGUCAAACAAAUUUGUUGUCAAAAGGUGAAAUAAGAGAUUGACCAUUCAAGGAUAUUUUGGUCAUUUAUUAGUAUACAUAGCUCCAAAUUAGAUGAUUCUUAAUUCAUUGGAAAGCUAACUCAAAGAGCUAGUUCAACCUCUAUCAUCGAGAAAAUAUCACUUUAAGUUGGUGCAAAAAUAGGACAAUGUUGAAGACUGGUCAAAAAAGUGCAAACUUGCAGGGGAGAACAAUACGUGACCUUCACCCAUGUUUUGAGAGCGUGUAUUCAUAUUUUGGCUGCUUUAUAGUUGUAACCAAUUGUAAUUCAACUUCAACUCUUUCCUACUACUUUUGGACUAAUUUUCUGAACAAAUUUGUACUGAAAAGUGCAAAAAGCAUCUUGGAAAUUUGGAGGAAUAACUUUUGGGAAUCUCAAGACACAAUUUGCACAACUUGAAACAUGAUUGCUUGGAGCUUUAAUUCUCUAUAAAUAGGGUCUUUGUUCAGUCUGUUUGAUAACUUUGGGAGACUAAAGACACUACCAAAGCGUAGUUUUCUCUAAUUUUUCUUAGUUCAUUAGUAUAAUAUAGUUAGUGUAGUUUAUCCAUCUUGUACUUGUAAUUAGAUUUGGAUGAAGAAUUAAGGAGUAAGAUGAAGAGUUUGGAACUCAUGUGAUAAAGGUGACUUCUCUCCUAUCACUUUCUCUUUUGUAUUUAAGUUCAUAUUUAGUUAUAAUACAAGUAUGGCCUUUCCUUUCAUUCUCUUCAUGUUUUGCUAAAAUUUAUGCCUAGAAUUUUGGAUGAACUUUCUAUAUCUUGUGAGUGAUGUUUAAUUGGUUAUUUGAUGAUAUUAUUUUGAGUAAGUUAUUUAGUACUUUUGCUUAUCUAAUCAUGAUUAACUGGUCAUUGAUUGUGAUAAUCUUAAGGUGUUAAGUGUAUAAUAAAAAUUGGGAUUUGACAUUAGUUCAAGAAAGUACUAAAUCUAGGGAGUACACUUAUGAAAGUAGAGGUGUACCUUUGUGGUUUUAGUGGUAUGUUCCAUGUAAUUUCAUAGAAGAAAUAACAUUGUAACUAAUUUUAUAACCACGAUAAUAAGUAUGGUUUAACUACAAAGUAUAGUUCAUUCACUACGAGAAUAAGUUUCGCAUAUAUUAGGAAAUUACAUUAUAUCUAGCCAAGAUAAUAACCUCUUGCAUUUAUAAUAGUCUAAAUAAUAAAAGAGUUCGAAAAUCAUCAGUAAUUGGCGAUAUUUUCUGUGGGAUUGAUACCUAAUAUCCCUAUACUCGAUAAACGAUCUGUAUGCUUGUAGAAAACAGGAUAUUUAGGUUUUAUUAAAAUUUGGUGCAUUGUAGAACCUCUUCAAUUUCACACCAUUUGAGGGACAUUUUAUAAAAGAUUUGUAGCUAUAAAGUGGAGAUUUUAGCAAUAAUUAUUGUCCUUAUUUCUUCAAUAAUUAUGUGCUUUAGCUUUGAAGCCACAAAAAUUGACAUUUGAAAUCAAUGUUCACACUUAAGACAAAAGGAGUGAUGAACAUUUCUCUAUGGAUAGGAGCUUGUGUUUUCUUAUUUAAGAAGAGAUUGGAGAAUGAAAAAACACACUACACAAAUGUAACUCUUAUAUUUUCUUAACUUUACAUUAGUAAGGGUAUAGUUUAGAUAGUAUAGUGUGUCAUCAACUGUAAUAUAAUGGUUCGACUAGAAUGAAGAUGGAGAUGAAGGAUGAGGGGAUGAAACUCAUGUGAUAAAAAUUCUCUCUUCUCCAACUUUUUAUCUAUUGUAUUAGAUUCUUAUGUGUAGUUAAUAUGUAAGUUUUGGAUUUUAUGUUUAUUAUGUCUUUCUAAAAUUUAUUUUUUGGAUUUUGGUUGUACCUUCUAUGAUUGUAUUAUAUUGAUUUCUUUGUUAUUUGGUACUAUUAUUUGGAACAAGUUAUUUAGCAUUUUUGUGUAUCCAAUUAUUAUUAACUGCCCAUUAAUUAUGAUAAUUUUAAGGUGUUAGAUUUAUAAUGAGAAUUAGAAUUUAAUACUAGUUCAAGAAAUUGCUAAAUCUAAGGAGUACACUUGCAAGAGCAGAGGUACUCCUUCGUGGCAUUUGUGACUUUGUUCCAUGUAAUUUCAUAGAGGUAAUAAACUUGUAGCUAAUUUCAUAACUGCAAGAGUAGGUAUGGACUAGUUAUAGAUAUAGUUGAUUCAUUACAAGAGUAGGUUUUAGAAAUAUAAGGAACUACGCCAAAACUAGCCGAGGUAGUAGUGCUCCAUAAUCCAAAAAUUGCACUUGCAUGAGUAGUUUGGGAUACCAUGAUCUAGGGAGCUUUCAUUUGCUAUAUAUAUAUAUAUAUAUAUAUAUAUACAUAUAUAUAUAUUUUUACAAAUUUUAGCUUAGUUUUAUUUCCUUUAAUUUGUUGAUUAUCUAAAUAAUAGAGAAGUUUUAGUAGUGCCGAUAGUUGUCCAUGUUCCCUGUGGGUUUUACUUUUAAUACCCAAUACUCAAUCACAACCUGUAUAUUUGCGAAAAAUUGCGUGUGAGGCGUUUAGGAAUGUAUAAAUGUAAAACUUGACUAUGGAUUGAACUUAAUUUUAUAUGUAAGCCCUGCACUCGUCAAGUUUAUGGUGCUAUUAUCGAGGAAGAUUUGUGACAAUAUCUGUGUGAAGAACAACUUUAUUAGUUUAGAUAUUUUAUUUGUUUUCUUGUGUUUGUUGUGUCUACUUCUCUUGUAAGUUUGCAGCGUCUUUGUUUGUGUGUUUUCCUAUGUGUUGAAUCACAUAUUCUUCUUGACUAAACUUAUUUUUGAGUUUCUUUGAAGGCAUGUCUAGAUGUUCAAGGAGAGUAGUAAACAUGAGUGGACAACACAUGAGAAAUGGAAGUUCGGCUAUAGACUCUUAUCAUGUGUGAAGCUCCAUGAAUAGAGGUAACAGAGAAAGUAUCACGAAUAUGUCUUUUGAAGAUAGGUUAAGGAGUUUAAAGCCUAAAUUUGAUUAUAUAAUGUUAAAAACUCAAUUGGAUACCAUUAUGCAUAUACUUGAACAAAAGAAGAAUGUCAAUGCUUUUAAUUCUAAUCAUGUAAUUUAUAACUUGUGCAAAAGUUAUCAUACUAUUUAUACUUGUAUGUAAGUACAAAAUAUAAAUUAUUAUGAUGAGUUUGAGCAUUGUAAUUUUUGUUUUGAUCAAUAUGGUUCUAAUUGGAGUAAUUCUUAUACUUACGGUUGGGAUAAUCAAUAUAAUUAUAGGUGAUUCUUCAUGUUUUUAUGAUUACUAAUCUAAAUUUUUUCAAUACAAAUCUAGACCAUAUGAGAAUUAGCUAUUGAAAGAAUAGCUAAUGGAUGUAGAAAACCUUGCGAGUUAGUUAUUGAAAAGUUAGCUAAUGUGACACCUAAUUGUUUUGAUGGGGUUAUUGCCCAAGAAAUUCGUGUGGUAUCUUAUUUAGUGUGUACUCAAGUGACACACAUUUAAGAUAAUAUUUAUGAAUCACUUAAAAUAGGUAAAUUGUAGAAAAUUGCAGUUUUUUUGCAGUAAAUCUAGCCAAUUUUUGAUGGGAUUCAAGGCCGAAAAUACAAGGCAACAAAAAAGUUUAUUCCAGUUGUUGUCGAAAUCCUACCCGCAAUCUGCAAUCGGAUUUGACUGAAAGUUUGUUUUUGAAGGGAAUUCACGAAUAGAUUUCCUAAUUUCUUCCUCCUCCUUUGAAACCUUGCACACACUCACACCAAAAACAAACACUACUUACAACACUCCACUUUUCACCAUUUAAUCGUCGAGCAAACUUCACCAAAUCAUUUCCAGUACCCUCUAGAGAAGUUUUCUUGGUUUAAAAUCUUUCAAAAAUAACUCCAAAUUUGGAUUAAAACUUCAUAAGGCGUUUCACAUUCUUGAAUUGCUCUAUUGAGGCCAAAUUGAAAUGAGUUUCCUGGGGGUUGUACACACCAUUUGCAUCUCUAAUAAGCACCCAACAAGUUUGAAGUACCAAAUUUUCAUUAAACUUCGUCUUUUAAUUAUUGCCAUUUGUGAAUAUUUUUCAUAUUUUUGGCAAUUUUGAAUUUCUCAUCUUUGUGAAGUUUUGUGACUUUUACUUCACUUGUUCGCGUUGUUAAUGAUUAUUGAUGUUGAAUGAAUCAUGAAUUUAUGAAUAUUUGAUUAAUUUGGUGAAUUUUAGCUAAUUUAAUGCUUAAUUUGGCUUGGUGAAAAUUUUUGAAUAUUAAAUGGCCAAUGUAGCAUUUUAAUUAGUUUUGUGGGAGUUUUAUGAUAUUCAUUUGAGUAUUCUAGAUUACCUAAAUGUAUGAGAAUAUGCAUUGGUUGAAUUAUUAGAUAAUUGUAGAAGUUAAGGUUAAUUGAAAAAUGAACUUCAAUUGGCAAAAUUGAUGAAUGCACUUGUGCUAUUUAUGGUUCAAUGGUUAUUAGCACUUCAUAAAUAAUAAUAAAAAUUCCAUUUAUAUUUGAUUUGGUGUGUUUGCCUCUAUUUUGGGAUUUCUUUUGUAUUUGUAGGGAAUUUUGGUAAAUUGUAUCUUAAGAACAAAAUAUAUUAAUAGAACUCACUUUGUUCAUGAUUAUUGGCAUAUUUUGUGAAGUUAGCUCAUAUUUAGUUAUGAUAUUUAUGCAAAUACUUGCUAUGUGAAGUUUGCUAGUUUCAUGUUUUUAUCAUCGUUGAACAUUUUGUUGGUUCCACUUAUUUGACCUAUUUUCCCAAUUUUUCUUGACUUGCAAGUUUACUUUUUGAUGGUUGCAUGAAUCUAUUUUUAGUUGCCAUUUGUAGUGUUUUUUAUGUUGGCUUUAUCAUUUGAAGUGAUGCAUUAAUUGAAUUCUCCUUUGACUAUACUCUCAAAUAAGGUUGAGAGUUCAUCAUAUGGCACUAGAUUUGGAUUGCACAAGUUGCUAUAGGAGUAUUAUCUAUUACACUUUUUUUUAUUUUCCUUUUCUCACAUUGAUGACAGUAUGAAGUUUAAGUGUGGGGAAGGAGAAAACUUAGACUUGCUAUUUUGUGCCAUGUGAUGAUGUUUUGUGGAUUUAAAUGCAUUAGAAAUGUUAGAAUUGUACUUGAAAAAAUUGCCAUAUAGAAAUUUUCUUGAGAAAUUGGAUUACUGGUAGGAAGUUUCAUCCAAUUACAAGAGAAAACUUUGUCAAAAUUUUUUCAAAAUCUUUUCCAAAAUUUCACUAUGGCAAAAAAGUUUUGACAUUUAUGUAAUUUUGUUUUAAAAGGACCAUUUGUUCCAACUUUAAACAUUUUGAUGCUCCUACAACUUUAUACUUUUUUUUAAAAAAAAUUCUUUCUCAUUUGACUUGGAAAUGGUUAUUAUGCAAUUAGAAUUUUUGCAUUUUGUAAAGUAUAUCUUGUAAAAUGAGGAGAGUUAUGCUUAUAUUUUACAUGACUAAUGAGAUUUCUCCUCUUUACUUAAUUUUACAAAUGAAUGAUUGUUAUAGUCAAUAUUUGUUAAGAAUGAUGGCUUAUUUAUUGUAUUUCAAAAUAAAAGAAGAGGAAAGAAAAGAAAAAAAGAGAAAGAAUAUGAGGUUUUGGUUUUACUCCAAUGAUUCUUAUAUCGGGUAACCAGGGGUUGGCAUCUACAAAUGUCGAUAGUCAUAUUAAAAGGUACUUGAAUUAAAAGUAUGUAUAACAACUUGAAUAAGUGUAGUGUUGAGUAACUAGGUAUUUUCACUUAAAAAUAUUGAUCUUCACAUUAAAAGAAAUUUUCACUAUUUGAGUAAAAAUUAGAAUGAAUAAGUCCCUCUUAAAUGUGAAAUUUGAGGAAAAAAAUGAUUGUUGGAGAGUCAUAGCUAAUUUUUGGGCUAUAUGAUUUGCUUGCUUGAAAAAUUAGAUUAGGGUGAGAGAUUAAGUAAAACUUGUUUUAAUUAUGUUAUAAUAGUCUUUCCUUUACCUGGUAUUAUGAGUAUUUAGUAUAAAUUGAAUGAUUGUCUAAUGAUCAGUUCUCGAAUUAUGAGGAAUUGAAUUUGGAAAAGUGCAUAUAGUGUCUUAGCACUUUAGUCAUUAUUAGUGAUAAUAUGUGGAUUGCUUGAGGAUAAACAAUUAUUCAAGUGCGGAGAGUUAUAAGUGAAUAUUUUGUGCUUUAUUUGGAUGACAUUUGAUGUUAUUUUUAGUCACUUUUGCAAUGUCAUAAGCCAAAGAGGUCCAUUUUUGCUAGAAUUGAUUCUAAAUGUUACUUAGUGCUUAAAUGAGAUUUUAGUCCCUUUUACUCGCAUAUUUUUGGUUAUUUUUUUGUAGGAAUUGGAAAUAGACUUCAUUUUGGAUAACAAAUAAAUUUGUAUUAUUUUAAUUGAACUCCUAAAGUUUGCGAUGAUGGAAAGACAAUGAUAAAACCUAUAAAAAAAAAAUCCUUGUAGGGAUUGUUGGAGGGAUUUGAUGUAGAAAUUUUUGGUGAAAUAGGGGAGCAAUCUCUCCAAGAAUCCGGCUGGAGUUCUGAAAGGAUUGCUAGAGGGAUUCUAGUCAAACACUGUGGUUACAACUUUUGCAACUUGAUUUCAAAUUCAUUAUUUCACACCAUUUGAGGGACAUCUCAUAGAAAAGUUGUGGCUAUAAAGUGGAGAUUCUAGUAGUAAUUCUUAGCCUUAUUUCUUCAAUAAUUAUGUAUUUUAGCUUUGAAUUCACAAAAAUUGAUAUUUGAAAUCAAUGUGCACACUUGAAGACAAAAAGAGGGAUAAAGAUUUCUCUAUGAAUACAAGCGUGUGCCUUCUUAUUUAGGGAGAACUUGGAGAGUGCAAGAACACAUUACAAAAAUGUAGCUCUUAUAUUUUCUUAGUUUUACAUUAGUAUAGUAUAGUUUAGAUAGUAUAGUGUCUCAAUUGUCGUCAUCUCUUUUACAUUGGCUACAUUAGGAUGAAAAUGGAGAUGAAAGAGGGGAUGAAGUUUAUGUGACAAGAGUUCUCUCUUUUCCAACUCUUUAUCUUUUGUAUUGGAUUCUUAUAUUUGGUUAAUAUACAAGUUUUGGAUUUUAUGUUUAGCAUGUCUUUCUAAAGUUUAUGCAUUGGGUUUUGAUUGAACUUUCUAUAAUUGUAUUGUAUUGAUUUUUGGCUAUUUGAUGCUAUUAUUUUGAACAAGUUAUUUAGCAUUUUUGCGUAUCAAUCAUGAUUAUCCAACUAUUGAUUGUGAUAAUCUUAAAGUAUUAGAUUUGCAAUGAGAAUUAGAAUUUAAUACUAAUUCAAUGAAGUGCUAAACUUAAGGAGUACACUUACAAAAAUAGAGGUACACCUUUGUGACUUUUGUGGUCUUGUUCCAUGCAAUUUCAAAGAGGUAAUGAACUUGGAGCUAAUUUUAUAACCAUGAGAGUAGGUAUAGAUUAGUUAGAGGUAUAGUUGAUUUACUACGAAAAUAGGUUUCACAUAUAUAAGAAAAAUUCACCAUAACUAACCAAAAUAGUAGCAAUGAUGCAACAACUGUACUUUCAUGGGUAGUUAGGGAUGCCAUGAUCUAUGGAGUUUUCAUUUGCUAUUUUCUUGCAAAUUUUAGCUUAGUUUUAUUUUCUUCAAAAUUUGAACUUAAUUUUGUAAGCAUACCCUGCGCUCGUCAUCAUGUCUGAAAUUGCCGCCCUUACAUAGAAUUGUGUCUUCUUUUAGUCUUGCUUAGUGCAAGGAUUUUUUAACCUUUACAAAACCCAUAAACUAAGAGAAUCUCUAAUCUUAUAUUGAUUCAAUCAUAUCCUCAUCUUCUAGCCAUAUAUGGCAACUCUAGGGAGGUGCUAGUGUCCUAACAAUACAUUUUUCUUUUAGCAAAUUCCUUAUAAGGCUUGUGUUUAAUGAUGAAAAACUUGUGUUUGUCUUCCUAAAAAGGGCUUUCGGAUUUAAGCACGAAGCUUGAACGUAAAACCAUCUCUACUAAAUUGUUUUUUUUUUCUUUGAUAUGUUGAACUCGUCUCCCAUUAUCAACUGAAACAACUUCCAAUGAAUAAAGCCCGAUUUUUGGAUAAGUUUUUUUCCUAUUUCAGCUACUUGAACUUUAAUUCCACCUUGCUACUUGCUAUUUUAUAUAGCAACAUUUAUAGUCUCUUGAUCUUGCUUUCAAACUUUAGGAAGUAAGACCUUUUGAGAUUUAAGAGGACAUUCAAAAAUAGUAUACUCAAAUUUUUUGAAAUGGCUACACUUAGGUGGAGUGAAUUUGUAGUACAACUUUUAAGAGAAAGAAAAUGGAAGAAAAAGCAAGAUAGUAAUCUUCCCAAACCUCACACAAAAGAUGCUAUUCCUUUACAAUCAUCUGUAACCUUUACAAAACCCAUAAACUAAGAGAAUCUCUAAUCUUAUAUUGAUUCAAUCAUAUCCUCAUCUUCUAGCCAUAUAUGGCAACUCUAGGGAGGUGCUAGUGUCCUAACAUUACAUUUUCCUUUUAGCAAAUUCCUUAUUAGUCUUGUGUUUAAUGAUGAAAAACUUGUGUUUGUCUUCCUAAAAGGGGCUUUCGGAUUUAAGCACGAAGCUUGAACGUAAAACCAUCUCUACUAAAUUGUUCUUUUUUCUUUGAUAUGUUGAACUCGUCUCCUAUUAUCAACUGAAACAACUUCCAAUGAAUAAAGUCCAAUUUUUGGAUAAGUUUCUUUCCUAUUUCAGUUACUUGAACUUUAAUUCCACCUUGCUACUUGCUAUUUUAUAUAGCAACAUUUAUAGUCUCUUGAUCUUGCUUUCAAACUUUAGGAAGUAAGACCUUUUGAGAUUUAAGAUGACAUUCUAAAAUUGUAUACUCAAAAUUUUUGAAAUGGCUACACUUAGGUGGAGUGAAUUUGUAGUACAACUUUUAAGAGAAAGAAAACGGAAGAAAAAGCAAGAUAGUAAUCUUCCCAAACCUCACACAAAAGAUGCUAUCUCAGAAAUGGUCAAGCUACAACUACUUAGGCUACUACAAAGAUAGUCGAGGCACAACUACUUAGACUACUGGAAUGAUAAAAAUCAAUUUCAAAACUUUAAAGAAUCUAUUUACUUUUCAAAGAUUCUAUCUAUUUAUAUAUGCAUGUCUGAAAUUAAUCACUUUUACAAGGGUUUUAAGGAAUCAUACUCAUAGUGUCCAUAGUAGCUUGGGUCAAAUAAGAGCCCAUUAGGGUUUUGACAAUUAUAAUUUUUGGGGUCAACAUAUCCGACACUUUUUUGUGGUCAACCUGUCCUUCUAGAAGUAGUUUAGACAGCCAUUGAACAUCUUCAAAUUUUUAACAUUAUCUUUUGAUUAGUAGUUUUUGAAUCCAAAAUGCUUAUCCAAAACUCUCAUGUUGGUAUUCUAUUCAUAGACACCAAAAUUUUGAUAAUUUGUUUUUAUUUUCUUUACCUUUAUUUUUUAUUGUUUUAACCCUUUAAUUAUUAUUUUUAGGAAAAUCAUCUUUUGUAGGAAAAUCAAGAAAAGAAAAGAAAAGAAAAAUGGAAAGAAAACACAAGGAAAGAAAAGAAAAAAAAAAGGAAACAGAAAUCAGUUUUUGUAUAAAAUUUUUUUUUUCCAUUUUUCCAUGGCUUUGUACCAGAAGCCAUGGAUAAACAGUACAGUACCAUUGCAGCUACAAUUUUCAUCCAUUUCCACACACUUUUUUUUUUUGCAUUUUUCUUUCCCUCCAAGUCAUCAAGAAAAAUCUGGGAUCAAAGCCAUCCAAUGGCUUCAAAGUUGCCAAGAAACCCAGUUCUAAUCUCCACUAUUGCUCCUAGGUUUUGAGAGGGGUUUUGUUCCUAUAAAAGGCUCCAAACGUAGCCAUUAGGUAAGAGAAUUGAGAGAGGGAGGCGACGGACAAAGAAAAAAGAAGAAAAGAGAGAAAAGGAGAGAAAAAUAGGGAGAUAAAGAGAAAAAAGGUGCAGAAAUCUUCUGGGAAAAUUUUGAGCCAGGGCUGAUCGUCAAGCCUAUUUUCUGCUCAAAAUUUGAAUUAUAUUUUAGUUCUUUAGGUGAUAUUUUUGUUUUUGCACCAGAUACAUUCACCAAACAACUUUUGUUUAGAAAACUUCCCAAAAAAAUGUCUCCAGGUCUUCCAAAUUUCACCUCAAAGUUUGCUCAUUGUCAGCUCUUGGACAUUCUUUGGCAGAAAUUUGCUACUUCGAGUCUCUCAUUUGGAUGCGUUUUUUUAAAACCCUCCAUGUUUCUUUGGUUCCAUAAUACAUUAAAGGUUUUUUCACCCCUUUUCGUUGGUGUUUACUUAGUUUGGCUUUGAAUGUGUUAAAACUGGGCUGCUGCACUUGUUCUUGUUCUUCCCUUUUCCUGCUAUAUUUUUUGCCUAAUUUUGUGAGAUAAUAGUCCAGAUUUUGUUGCACAAUUUUGUGAUAAACAUCGCAUUUGAAUCUCAUGCCACUAUCUAGCAUAUUUGGUUUUGAAAUUUUGGCAAACGUUUGGGUUGUAUCGCUAUGUUUGAUGAACUGCAAAAGAAUGUUGCAGCAGGUUUCGAAUUAGAUUGCAUGAAAUUUUGAACAAUUGCAUUUUCACCCCUGACUUUCUAAAUAAUUCCACUAUGGCCCAAAAAUAUGAAAAUUGAACCAAUUUUGCCUCUUUUAAGUUUUAAUCCUCUUUUUCAUAUUAUUAGUAGAUUUUCAUGCAGAUUAUUUCUAGGAUUUAAGAUGUAUCUAGGGUUUAAUAAUUUUUGGAAAGAUUUAUUAUCCUGUUGGAUUUAGUAAAGGGUUUAUAAUUUGGGUAAUGUUAUUUGGCUGGGCUUUUUUGAUAGUGGGUUUUGUUUUGUUUUGGUUGGGUUUCCUGACUUGAGUUUAGGGAUGGAAGCCCAUACAAUUUGAUUGGGUUGAUUUGGUAAAAAGAGAAGGUUUGGCCCGCUCUUUUUCUUAAGGCUUUUUGUUGGGACAGGUGGUUUCUAGCCUAAGAAAAUAAUAAAUUGGCCCAAUGGCCUGGUUUGUUAAGAGAGUCUGACGCAAAAUUUGCAAAUUAGUCCCUAGACUUUUGAAUACAUAUAAUAUGGCCCUAAAAUCUUUAGUUUUCUUUCAAUCGGUCCUUAAUUUAAUUACAAUUUGGUCUCUAAACUUUAUUUAUCUUUAAUUUUGGCCUCUAAAUUUUAUAAUAAUUAUAUUUUGACCUCCAAACUUAUAAUUUUUAUAAUUAAGUCCGUAGCAGCUUUAAUUUCUUCAAUAUAAGUUGUUUAUCUUCUUUAAUUGUUAUUUAUACUUCAUUUAAAUGCUUUAAUUGGUAGAUUCUAUGAUUAUUUUCAUUUCACUAUGAUGAUAAAAUGAAUUUGCACUAUGUUUACUAGGGGUGGGCAAAAAAACCUGUCAACCCGAAAAACCGACCAAUCCGACCCGUCUCGCAUCGAAAAUUAGGAUAUUCGAUCCGAUUUUAAUAAGCGGAGCAGAUGAGGGUCGAGUACCCAUAAAAUUUGGAUACAGAUACGGGUCAUACAAUAAAAACCCGCGAGCACCCAAUCAGGGUAUAUUAUAUAAAUAUUAGAAAAUAUAAGGUCAAUUUUAUAAUUUUCUUAAGUUAUUAACCCUAAAUCCCUAAAUCCAUCGACAUUCAAUCUUUUGUUUCUCUCUGUCUGACGUCUUCACACUCAUAGUAAUAUCUCCUCUCCUUCUCUUCAAUUUUCAUCACAACAAUUCCAAAUUGCUCUUCAAUUUUCACCACAUCGUACUACAAAUAUAUGGUUGUCUUCGAAUCAUAAGAGAAUCACAACCCAUUUUUGAUUUGCUGGUGCUCCUCAAAGCAAUCCCUCAAGCAGAAGUUGCAAAAUGCCAGACACUCAAUCGAACGCCAGUCCUUCAAUCAAACGCCGAACCUUCAAAGCAAGCCCUCAACCUAGUAAGUGAAUCCCACAAUUUUUAUUUUUUUGAUAUCUGGAAGAUAAUGCAUGAAUCAUACUACAAUAUUUUCGAUGCCUGAACCCACGAAUCGGGUUAUAAACAAAUCCAAAUAAGUUGCCCCCGCGUGAAUGGUCCAGCAGUAGCGCCUUUCACUGGUGACCUUUAAGAUCCCAAGUUCGAGUCUCCGCUCCGCUGGGUUUCUCCGCACACUUAUCGCGUUCGGGUCGGGUUGGGGCGACGGGCCCGGGUCGCAGGGGAUUAGUCGGGCCCCGUAAGGAUUGACCCGAACACCCUGUGUCGACAAAAAAAAAAAAAGGGUUAUAAACAAAUCCAAGCAAACCUAGCUUUCAAACCGUCUGACUAGAUCUGAAAGUUUGGGCUUGCGUUUAAAUCUUUUGUGGGUUUAAAACGUAGUUCUGAGAUUGAUUCAUUUGUAUAUUUUUUGAUUUCUAAUACUAUUUUAUCAAUAAUACAUAGCCAUUCUUGUAUAAUGCAAAAUCAUGUGUUAACAUAUAUUGACUAAAACUAUUAUUUGAGCCUCCAAUUAACUUUAAUGCGUCAAUUAUUUAUAAGUUAAAACUUGAUUUCACAAUUUAAUUAAAUCAAGGGUUAUAAUGUCUCAAACUUCCCUAUAUAUGCCCAAAAGUGCUCCUCAAUUAUCCAAAACAAGAGAAGGAUCACUUUCAUCCUCUUUAAUUGAACGAAGCAAAACAUACAAAGAAGACAAAAGCAGUCAGAAUCCUCUCCUAUGCAUUUCAUCAUAACAUUCCCCUGCACCAUUAUAUUUAUCAUGCAUUUUUUAUUCUAAAAUCUCAUAGUUGAGAAAAUCAGACUUCUGAAUUAUCCAAAGCAAAAUGUACAAAGUUGACAAAGGUUACUAAUGCUUUGGUUAAGUGUUACUUUCUGCUUUAAGUGUUUGUUGGAAUAAGUGUAAUGGACCACAGUUUUUUAACCAAUCAAGAAACAUGUAAAAACCAAUCACUGACAUAAGGUACCUCAUUUUUCCUUAAACUUAAUUAACCAGAAAAUGCAACGAAUUGCUACAUUUUGAACAAUCAGUUUUUCUUGUUUAAGGCGUAAUAUCUGUUCUCGUUUCCAGAUGUGUAGUAAUUAAAGUUUUUUGAAUUUUUCAGAUGUCAAGUAUGGAAGAUAAUACAACAACUAUAGUUGCAAGCCCAAGUAUGGAUCAUUCUCCUUAAUGUGUUGUAGAAGGAUGAACCUUUGGUAUUGAUGUUCAAUGUUUUUAAUUGUAUUUUUAGUUGAAAAAUUUGUUGUUGAAAUCUUUUUGAGGUUGUUGAAACAGUUUUGAGAUUGUAGUUUCUUGAAAUUUGUUGUGCUUGAAAAAUGGUUAUUAGUAAUGUGUUUUUCUCUUGGACUGGUAAACAAGAAUUAUAGGGAUGGGUAUCCUAUAACCCGCCCCCUUUUUUUCGGGUACCUAAGGAUCAGAUAUCCGGAGACAAGCAGAGUGGAUUAAGGUCAAAAAAAUAGUGAUCCGAUAAGGUAGGGUCGGGUCAGCCAUAUCACAUUCGGGGAGGGUACCCGACCCGUACCCACCCCUUAUUAUUUACAUGUUAUUUCUUUUAUUUGUUAAUGAAAUUGGUACCUUGACCCUUUUGUUGAUUUUGGAGUAUAAAUAGGCCAAAUCCAACCCCAAUUAACCACUACUUCAAGAGAGAUAUCUUCUUUUAUUAUUUUAACUCCCUUAUGUGUUCCUAUGUGUUUUGAUGUGUAAUUGCAUGUUUUUAAGUGUUUUUUUAUUUACUCAUUUUAUUUAUUUCAAGUUUCAUGUAUUUAAUUUGAUUUUGAUGAUUAUUUGAGAGGCAUUUAAAUGAUGCCAAAUUGUAAUAGAUAGGUGCUCAGGACAUGUAUUUAGUUAGGUUAUGUAAUAGAUAGAUUUUAAUUUUGCAAAAAAUGUAAUUAGUUAGAUAAAUGUAAUGGUUAGGUUAUUAUUUUUUUAAAAUUUUCCCUUAGAUUGUAAAUAGGGUCCCAAAUGUAAUACUUAAGUUUUCGUGCACGUUUCUUUGUUGUGUGCUUAUGUGUUUACUCGCUUUCUUUAGAAUCUUUGCAUCUAAAUAUUAUGUUUAUGCACUAUGUGCUCUAUGUGUUUACCUGUUUAUUUGCUCUAAUUAUGUUUUAUAUGAUUUAUUAAUUUAUAAUAAAUGCAUGACGUCACCACACUAGUCCAACAUUAGUUGUGGCUUUUUUUCCGAUUUCUCACUAGUCCAACGCUAGUGUGAACUUAUAAAUAUAGACUAAUCUAAUGCUAGACCCUUUAGGCCGUUUUCGCACUAAAAUCACAUGUUUGUGUGACAUUCAUUACGUUUCAUGCAUAUUUUUUAUUUCAAGAUCCUUUUUCUUAUCUUGCACAAUUUUCCUUUAUAAAUUAUCUCCCUUAUCCCUAUGUGUGUGAAACAUGACAUUUAGACUUGCAUUCCAUUUAGAAAAUCAGAAGUAGGACAGUCUAUUUGCUUGACUAGGUUAAGGAAGUCGUCCUUCAAAUAUGGGAAAUAAACGAGUAUGGUCUCAUAAUCUUAGCACGCUUAUAUCCCCUCUAUAAAAAGAAAAAUUGAGGCACGAAUCUUAGUUUCCCAUACUCAUUAUAUUGCAUUCCUUUCUUUUAGAUCACAUAUAUUUAUAUAUUACAAUUUUUCUUUUCUUCAAGUCUCAUAUUUUGCAUAUUCGUGACCCUUUCUAAGAAUCAUUUUGGGCAUCAUAAUUAAUGUGAUUUGUGCCAAUUAAACUUUGAAGAUACAUUUCGGCCCUCUUGAUAUUCAUUAUUAGGUCUAGAUUUGUAUCCAUAUAGAAACAUCCAAAUGUGAUAAGUUUAUAGGUUAGAUUAGGAAAAUAUUUAACUAAAUCUCGCAACUAGCUUUGGUUAGGUUGAAAGAGUGCCUUAGAUCAAAUCUUAUCUUCCCCUUUGUUCAACCAUGACUCCCGAAUCCUUUUUUCUUAUUUUCAAAGACUUGGAGUCAUCUAAAAAGAGUUUUAUCUAUUUUUUUUUAUUAAAAAUACAAGUUUAGAUGACUUGGUAUACCUAAACUUAAUACCAAGUGGUGACUCUUAUUUUUUCUUAAAAACCCUUUUUAGACUAUUAUUUUGGGGCCAAAUCGUUGCAUAUUUUAAAUCCCACUAGUUUUUUCAGCCUCAUGCGAUGCGUGAGGAUGCCCUGAGUCUGUGUUGAACAAGUUAAAAUGAAGACAAGUGAAUUAAUAUAAAAUAGUUAUAUAUAUUAAAUAUAUGAUGGGUGCUAGUAACUAUGAGGAAUUUAACUUUAGGUAAAUUGGUUAUUAUCGUUAUUCGUUUACUCAAUUUAUUUAUGAAAUUGAAGAGAUUUUUGUACCUACUGGACUUGGACUACUAAUUGACUUAAUAUGAGAUAUCGAUACGAUAUAUUAGUAUUUCAUAUCUGCAAUAAAUUAUCAAUGAUCUAACAGUCGUCAUGUGUGUGAGUGUGUAUUUUUUCUUAAUUGCACUGAUAAAUAAGACCUUGAAAUUAGGUUAUCUAACAUUCUUAAUGUAGCAUUAAUCAGUAAGUAAUGACUAAAAUUAAGUAGAAUUAUAAGGCAUGGUUAUCUAACCUUUUUAAUGUAGCAUUAAUCACUAAAUAAUGCCUAACAUUAUAAAAUGGAUUUAUCAUUUUCUAUAGUUUGCUAUACUUGAAUGAGCUUUCAAACAUAUUUAAAAAUAUUUUUAGACCAAUGUAAAAUUAAAUUAAUUUUUUUUGUAUAUUCAAUGGCUUUUUUCUUUUAUAUUAAUAGGUCUGGAUGCAUGACAUAUAAUUUUUAUUCAACUCUAUCCCACCAUGAGCUCGGUUUAUAUAUACUAUCAUUUCUCCUAAUCAAGAUUUCAUAUUGGAACCUUUUUUGUUUGUUGCAAUUCAGAUGAUUGUUUGAUUGAUAGAUUAAAAGUAUUCAAGAAUGAAGGGAGCAACAAUGGUUUCUUUAGACAAGACAUCAUCUAUUGAAAAUGAGUCUUGGACUCUCAAUAGACUCUCAAUAUUGAACGACUUCAACUUGCAGGGGUAAAUAUACAUAUUUUCUUAUUUUUCUUUCUUUCUUCCCCUUUUUUGGUUGUCUAUUCUUUGUUUAUUUUUGUAGAUUUUGAUGAUUUUGGAUUUGAUAUUUGGUGAGUACGACAAGCAUGGAAGAAUCUCUUUGAAUUUUCACUAAGAUAAUGGCUUAGAUAUAUACAAUAUUCAACGAUUUCUUGAGUUAAAAAAUUUUCAUUUCUAUUUUCUAGGUUCUUUGGAUCUAUAAUUCUUACUCAUUUGAUGAUUCUUUCGAUAACUUGGUUGAUGAUUUUUUUUUUUUUGUAAUCUGUAUCAUAAGCUGCAAAAUUAUAGGUUAUUUUGUAUUCUUAAAUCAUGUGCUAAAAUAGGUGAGUUUCUCUGUUUCUUUUUCUUUUUUAAUAAAAGUGGUAUUCAAAACUAUGAGAUAGUUGGAAUCUUUAAAUGGUGAAUUCCAAAUCGACUUGUGUUUAAGGAUAGAUUGAAAUAAAAUGCUAAGAAAUAAAGGAUGGAUCUAUUUUAGAAAUGGGGUGACAAACUCGUGUUUAAAAUUAGAAAAUAUGUAUUUCUAGAAUCAUUUUUUCAUACUUGAAAGAAAAAAUUGGGACUAUUGUAAAAGUUCAAAAAUUAUAAUCCAUUUCUUAAAUUGCAUAAUUUUUUUAUGAAGAAAGUUUGUCCUUUUGCAAAAAAAAAAAAAAAAUGUUUACACGGGGAUCCCUCUAUACUUGCUGAAAACCAAGAACAGAACCAAGAAUUGAACGAGAGGAAUUGCUGUCCACAAAAGAGAUCAAUAAGUCAACAAAAAUUAGGGUCAAAAAAUAACAAAAUUACAAAACAACCAAGCAAAUAUAACAUACAUGUUGAAUGAAGGGAAAAAUAAAUGGCAUGAUUGGAAAAUAUGGCAAACACCUAAGGCUAAACUAAUACUCAUAAAUAGCUAAGGUGGCCCACCUCUCCGGAUCACAAGGGGCAACAAUGACUCAAACAAAAGAGGUACAAAGAUCAAAUAAAUUACAAAGCAUGCAUCUUCCGGAGAUACAGUAGUCAUGCGUGUGAGUGUGUGUUUUUUCCUAAUUACACAGAUAAACAUGACCUUGAAAUCAAGUUAUCUAACAUCUUAAUAUAGCAUUAAUCAGUAAGUAAUGCUUAAAAUUAGGCAAAACUAAAAGGACCCUCUAACCAUUCUAAGAAUUCAAAAAACAACUGGGCAGCCGCUUGUAGCAGAGUGCAAGGUUCCCUUGAACUCUAUUUGUGUGGCUGUAAUUGGUGCAAGGUUCCAUCCAAGAGCCCCACGCGGACAUAAGUGAAUUUCACUGAAGCUCAAUAGUUGGAACCGAGCUUACAAGAUCUGGUAAAGGAUACUGUGUGACAGCCUUCGUAAAAUAUGAAAUGUUAGGCAUGUUUCAUUUCUGCAUAAAAGUUGCAGUAGUAUUGUAAUCACAUAUACUUAAUCAUAAGCAAGGAACAAACUUCCUUGUAGAGUUAGUCGAUCCAUGUGCAGCUCAUAAGAGCAAAAUUGUUCCCAGAAAAAAAAAACUGUGAAAGCAAGAAACUGUCAUUGCAUUUCCAAAUAUCAAAACAAUUGAAGCAUGUUUUACAGCAAGAUAAAGGAUCAUUCUCCUUGUCUACAAGUAUGAUCUUUUCUCUGCAAUGUGAGUAGGGAAGGCCUGCAACGUGUUUAGUCCCUUCAAUAUAUCAUAUUUGCAAUUGCUGCACAAAGGCAAUCAAGAGCUUGAAUCUCACACUGCAAAUCCCAUCUCCAAAAUUUUUCUUUUGACCAGUAAAUUACAUUUGAAAGUGUCUUAUCCUUUAAUCAUGACUAUAUUAAAUUCCAAUUCAACACAUCAUCUUUUAGCUACUAAUUAGAAUCCACCACAGAAAAAGAGGAAGUAACAAAACUUCCCGCAAAACAAUGUAAAAUUCUUCUAUUUCAAUAACAUUCUUUUCUAAAUUUCCCAAAACAUUUUGAGAAAAAAACUAUAGGAAAUCUCUCCAUACAACCUGAAUAAAGAAAGUAAGAGAAAACCUACUAUGCAGUUAUAUAAGUUCUCAAAAAGGCCCAGUUUGUAUUUGAAACACUGGUUGUAGAGCAUUGAAUCAUCUCUAAUGUCCUAAAUCCUUUGACUUCUUUCUUAAAUCCAAACAAGAUCAAAAGUUCAUCUUCUUUUCUCUUCUAAGCUAACUACUAUGCUAAAAGCUAAAAAUAAUAUGCAAACUUAGUUGGUUUAAUGAUUUUUUUUUUCCAAAUUUGCAAUAGCUUGAACUGAAUAUAUCAUAUUUCUUCAACAAUAUCGAGGGCAUAUCAUUAUAAAGCUGGGCAAUCAUAAAAUAUAGAAUAGCAGAUGGAUAUUGCUAUGUACUUUCCAAUCUUGCUAGCACAAAUGCUUUCCUGAAUGCAAAGGCCAUGUUUUUUCUACUUUGGUUUUUAUUCAGAUAUGAAAGCUCUCAACUUAUACAAUGUCCAUGCUUUUUCAACUCUUAAUACAAUAAGAGACAGAAGAGGAAAAGAGAACGCAGAGCUAUCCUAAGUGAUAGCUUAUCAUUGUUGAAGUUCAAUGAUCAACUAACUUGAAAAACUCCAGCAACAUUAUAACAACAGGAAAGUCAAAAUAUGCCUAAUAACUCCGCAAUUGCUGUAAUUUAAAACAAUUAUGAACCUGCGACUGAGCUCAUGUUGGUACUGAACUUGACUGGUACAAGUUCACUCAAUUUUCAUAGAUGAGGAUUGCAUCAAAUGUAUAGCAGUCGACUCUAAUGAAAUCAUAUGACCGUUUAACUAAUUGUUCUACUCAUGCAUGGAUCUUGGAAGCACAACUCUCACAAAAGCCGUCAUGAUGAACUGAUAGUCACCAAUAAUUUUACAAUCCUAUCAUUUAUAUUAAAAAACAGAGUGAAUUUAAUAAUUGAAAAAUCAUACAAUUACACCACACCUUGCUUUGAAUUUUAAACUUUAUCAACAUACCAAAAUAAAGUUGGGAAAUUAGCAAAAUAAUGCGUGAAAAGGCUCAGCAUUCAAUGCCAAGAGGGAGGAUUGGUACCAUGGCCGCAACCUAGUUGCAUGCAAGUGAGGGAAACUAUUAAAUUUGUUCCAACCUCAGAUCUGCCAUCCGAGUUGCCCUACCAUGGAAUGGGUCCAUAACCUCCAUGCCUAAUUCAUGAACCACAACAAAAAUAACACUAUAGCCUGCGUUAUGAAUUUUCCUAUAACAGAUUCCAUGAGAAGCGGUUUGGAUAUAGAAUUUUUGUUGGAUUAGGAGGGUGAAAGGGAAGAGGAAAAUUUCUCAAAGGGAUAAACUCAUUAAGAGGACAGAAGGACAGAGAGGAUGGUGAAAGCAAGGGGCGGGCGCACAGAGAGGAUAACGGAGAAUGCAAAGAAGGUAAUCGGUUCCGAAGCUGCCAAAUAAAACUAAAAAAGAAUGGAAGCUAAGAAGAAGAAGAAAGCUAAGAGAAAACAAAGGAAAUUGCUGACCGCCCACCGCCCACAAACCAGCAGGAAUUGCUGACUGCCAAAAUUGUGAGCAAAAAUUGCUGAUUGCCAAAAUCGUCCGCGUGAAAUUCCAGUAGAACCAUUGCCAUUGAAUGGCAAAAGACCAAACUGCCCCUCAAGCUCACACAAAUCACGCUAUAACCGGCCCAUUUUCACUGUAGCAAAGCAACUGACGCUUUUAGUAUAGUAAAGAUUUUAGGCCCUUUUUUAUUUACCCUCUCAAAUAAAAAACUAAUUUUUGAAUAAAAAUUGAUCAAAAAAUACAUUUUUUUCUAAAACACUUAAAUUAUUUUUCUAAAAAAUGGGAAGCGACACUAUUUACCCCGGUAGUGAUAAAAAAGUUCACAGGAGGAAGGGUCCUAUUAGAGACAAUGAUAGCAUUAAUACACCUUUUGUCCAGUCUGGAAACAAAAAACAAAAGUUAGUUCUUAACAAAUAAUGUAAAAAUAAUCACAUCAAAUGUACUUUGUCUCAAACUCGACAGGUAGAUUUUUUCUUAGAUUUCUAGGCAGCUGGAUAGGUAGAUUUUUUCUUAAAUUUCUAGGUUGGACAUAUUGCGGGGAAAUUAACACAUAAGAUACAUAAUCCAAAAAAUACACAAAGAAAUGAGAAGAUAUCAAAAUUGUUGCCCUAUAUAGCCAAUAAACAAUUGGCAGCAUGGCCAUAAACCGUUGGCUAUAUAGGCCAUAAAGUCGUUAUGUAAUUAAGUGAAAGCACACAUGUUCAUUAUUGGGCAAAUGAUAUCAGUUCAAAAUCUAGUGGCAUUACUUCAAACUACAAGAACACGCAUGAGAUCUUGUUGUAGCAUAAGUGAAGCUUCAAAUAAUGGUCAAGAUCCAUUUUAAUUACUAUUUUAAAUCAUAUUUUUCUUCUAAUUUUUAUGUUUACUCAUAGACAGAACUUCAAAGGCUGGUCUCAUAAGUCAUAGUUGAUGGAGCUUGAGGCUAUAGAACAAGAAAACAGUAAAACUCAAAAAUGAAAAACUAAAGUUUGUACUCCCCCUAUUCCUUGAGUUAGAAGACAUGAAGGAGGUUCAAGUACCCAAUAUGACAAAGUUCUGUAUCUCCUACACAUGAUAUUUCAUCACCAACUGAAUAAUGAACCACUUAUAUCAUAACACAGAGAUGAUAAAUGGUAAGAACAGAAUGAGCAUUUGAACUAAUUAAUAUGACAGUUACUUGUUAGUAACUGAUAAUGGCUAAAAUUAUGAUAUUUUUGAAUGUGUUUCACAUUAUUUUUUAGUCAUUUGUAAGAUUAAAUUGUAUAAGCUGUCUAUUUUAGGUCACUAAUUUGCACCUUAAGUUGAUAAAUGAAUUACUUGUGAUUUUGUCAUUUUACUGGUAAAAUUUCGUUGUUUGGUAGGUGAAAUGAUCAAGCUCAAUUGGAAGCGAAAUGCGCAAGAAUAGAAACUUGAGAAGUCACAACAAAUGCUAAAAGAAGUGGUGCAAGGAAAAGAAAAAAAAAAAGAAACUCUCGAGGAAUCCACCUGUGGUUUAUCCUACGAUUUGUGAGCAGCAACUUCAUUUCGCAGAGAAAAUCAAAUAAAGACUUGUUCUGCCCAAUCCCUGGGAGAAUCCCUCGAGGGACUUGUCCAAGGGAUUCUUGGCAGUUGCAAACUACGAACUUGCAUGUUUUUUGCUUCUUUCUUUAUCUUUGAUAAGACAAAAAGAGACAACUUGUACUAAUUUAGAAGUUCUAAAAGCUUCUCUUUUUGACCUUUUGGCUCCAAUAAUGCAAGUCCAAGAACAUAUACUACCUAGUUCUUCUAGUUUAGGUAGUAGUUAGAGAGUUUUAGUUCAAGUUAACUUGAGAGAAGAGAGAGUUUGGAGAAGAAAAAGAACAACCAAAGGGUUGUGUCUUGCCCUAGUUAGGGUUGUGUUUUGCCCUUAACAAAUGUAACUCUCUUUAUUUUCUCUUAUUUUAGUAUAGGUUGGUGUAGGAUAAUCUAGUUAUUGUUAUCCAUUCUUGUAUUAUCUCAACAAGGAGGCCAAGGGAGAUAAAGAAAGAGAGGCUCAAGAAGCCCUAGUGACAAAGGGUUUUCUUCUCUUCACUUCUUUUAUCAUUGUAUUGAACUAUAAGUUUGUUGAUGCAAGAUUUGGAUAUUGUGUUUGUGAUGUUAUUUUAGUUUACCUUGGGUAUUUGGCUGAACUUUCUAUGAUUAUUUGGUGUUGAUUUCUUGGCCAAUUGAUACUAUUAUCUUGUUUGAGUUAUUUAGCACUUUUGCUCUUAUAAUCAUGAUUAACUGGCCAUUGAUUAUGAUCAUUUAAAGACGUUCGAUUUACAAUGAAAAUUAGAAUUUGAUACCAGUUCAUAGAACUGUUAAACCUAUGGAGUACGUUUAUGAAAGUAGAGGCGCAACUUUGUGACUUUUGUGGUUUUGUUUCAUGUAAUUUCAUAGAAUUUAAUGAACUUGUAGUUGAUUUUAUGACCAUGAAAAUAGGUAUGAGUUAACUAUAGGUAUAAUUGGUACACCGACGAAAGCAGGUAUCACAUAUACUAGAAAAUUACGCCAUAAUUUAGUCGAAAUUUUGGUACUCAUUUGGUUAAGGAGUUGCACUAGCAUGAAUAGGUAGAGAUUCCAUUACCCAAGGAGCUUUAUUUGUAUUUAUCUAUCCAUCUCUAGUUUAGUUUAUUUGUUUUAAUUUAAUGAUAGUCUAAAUAAUAGAGAAGUUUUAAUAGUACCGGUAGUUGCCCGUCUUCCUUGAGAGAUGGACUCUUAAUACCUAUACUCAUUCACGACCCGUAUACUUGUGAAAAAUUGUGUGUGGGAUAUUUAGAAAUUUAUAAAUGUAAAAUUUGACUGUGGAUUGAGUUUAAUUGUUAUAUACAUACCCCGCAUUCAUCAGUAACAGCAUAGGAAUUGUAAGUUAAUGAAAAAAACUCAAGCAUCGAAACAUUAUCUAGCGGAACACAGAAAACACGUCUUCUCGAAAUUGGGAAACUAAUGAAGAGUCAACAAAAGAUGUCAAAACAUAAUCUGUUCUGGCAAAAAUCAAAUUCAAUGAAACUCCACAAGCAGAAAACAGUUUUAAAUUUAAGGAUGAAGUCCUAAAACAUGUAAGUUUGCUUGUUAAAGUUCAUCAAGUAAUUUGACAAAUCAACAAUUUAUUCACAACAACUGCUAUUACAGUUGCUUAGGUGAAAUGAUACAACUAUGAAAACAUAUGUUGAGUUUGUAUUUGUAUCCCACAUCGAAAGUUUUACAAAAAAAAAAAAAAAAAACUCCUCUUUGUGGUUAUAAAUAUAGUGGGCUUAAAUAGGUUUAUGGGUGCUAAGGAUACCAAUCCAAGUACCGUAUGCACCAGUUUAAGAGAGUUUUAAGGUGCCAUUUAAGAGGAGUUUUGGUUAGGUAUUAAACCAAAAGAGCAUAUUAUGGGUUUUUGGACCAUUAAGCAAUUUAUGUUAUUUAAUCUCUUUUGUGUUUUCAGUUUUAGGUGCCUUUUUGGGCCUUAAAAUUAUUUCCUAGGUAUUGUACUCUUUUUCUAUUGUAAUAAAUCUACUAUCCCUUCGUCCAUGGACAUAAGUCAAUUCGACCGAACCACAUAAAAUUCUGUCUCUCUAUUUGAUUUAUUUGGUUUGUUAUUGUCUUUAUUGGGUUUCCAAGAAUCAUAUUAUUUUCACUGGUCAAUUUUCUAGGACUAGAUCUAACAAAUUGGUAUCAGAGUUUCAGGUUUUGAUUCUUGAUGACAAUAACAAACUAUCAAUAUCAAUUUUGGGCACUACAAAAAGUGAAGAAAAAUUUUUUUCCAUUGGAGUUCAAUUGGAUUUUGAAGAAGAGCUAUUUGGCCCAUUGGAACUUGUUGAGAGUUUUGAGAUGAAGGUGGAGUAAGAUUACUAUAUUCAUGAUUUUUAACCUGUUGGAAUUUGUUGAAUCUUUUGUUAGUUUUGACCCGUUGGAACCCAUUAAGCCUUUUGUAUCUUGGUUCAUUGGUGGCUGGUUGGGAUCCGUUGGAAUUUUUAUGAAGAAGGUAGGACUUGUUUGUUAUUUGUCUGCUAUUUGGAUGUUGAAUACACGUCAAAGUGGAGAUUUAUUGAAUUUGCCUUUGUAUCGCACAUCAAAAGUUUUACCAAGAAAUAUCUCCUCUUGGUGGUUAUAAAUAGUGGGUUUAAGUGAGUUUAUGUGUGCUAAAGGCACCAGUCCAAGUACUAUAUACACCAAUCCAAGAGAAUUUUAGGGAGCCUACGGCCCAAUUUAAGAGGAGUUUUGGUUAGGCAUCAAACCAAAAGACCAAGUUAUGGGACUUUGGACUGUUAAGUAAUUUGUGUUAUUUAGACUCUUUUGUGUUUUCAAUUUUAGGUGCCUUUUGGAUUUUGAAAUUAUUUUCUAAGUUUUGUAUUCUCUCUUGUAUACUCUUUUUAUAUUAUAAUACAACCGCUACCCCUUCGUCCGUGGUCGUAGGUCAAUUUGAACGAAUCAAUAAAAUUCUAUGUCUCUUUGUUUGAUUUAUUUAUUUUGUUAUUGUUUUUAUUAGGUUGUCAAGAACCAUAUUAUUCUUGUUGAUUAAUUUUCUGGAACUAGACCUAACAACAUAUUCUAUCAGUUCAAAAAUAAACAAGAGCACGCAGCAUGAACAUUGCAUUCAAUUUUAAUCCAAUUACUCUAAUGCUGGCAUGGGAAGGAACAAUGCCUAGUGACUUCAUACCCAUAAUUUCAGUAAGAAUAGCUCUAGUGUUUCUAGCUCGAUAGAAAAUGUUGUAUUCUAGAUGUGGGCUUUCCUCGGAUCAUAUUUUCCACUUGAAGAAGUGAAAACAUGAGAACAGAUAAAAACUUCAAAAUUUCCAUUAUUUAGCACAUUAUAACCCUUUUUCUAUUUACUUUUUAAGUACAUUUGGUCAAUUGUUUCAUCCUAGAUUGCUAAUACCAAAAUUACUGUAGCUUGCCAUCAAAGGUUGAUGGAUUACCUUCUGAAUUAGUCCUCCAAAGGGAAGGGCAAGGACCAUUUUUGGCAGAUUUCUACUUCAAAGCAGGAAAAUCUGCUCAAUAUACACAAUAAAAAAGCACACAAUAAAAAAGAAAAGAGCUUAAAAUUGUUGGGCCACAUGGACCAUCAACAGUUGGCGUACGGCCAUAAAGUGUUGCCCGUAUGGCCGUAUGGGUCAUAAAAUCAUGGGUUAAUAUCAGAAACCUCCCUUGAGGUUUCUUCUAAUCACAUCUAGCACCUCCAUGUUUUUAAAAUCACACUUAGCACUCUUGGAAUGACAACUUUGGUAUUUUGUCAGCCCCUCUAUUUGAAAAUGGUAGUAAAAAAUGAAUUGUAGGAGAGAGACUUUAUUUUUAUUCCACUUUUACCCAAAGCCCAAAAUGAUUAGUGAAUUUUAGAAGAUAAAAAUAGAAAUAAAUUGGCAUAUGAUAUUAAUUUAGAAGCUGAGGGUGUAAAAGUGUAAUAAAAAGAAUGUUAUAACUAAUUAUCAGAGAUUUUGGCGAUAUAGAGAUGCAUAACUAAUUAUGGACCUGGGGCCGGAACGGUUGCACUCCGGAAGCUUGUGUGCGUUUUGCACACGGUGUAACAUCAUUUGUACACGUUGUAACACAAGAACAACAGCGAAUAAUUAUACUACCUUUAAUAGCAGUAACCGUCUCACACGGUGUAACAUCAUUUGUACACGUUGUAACACUAGAACAACAGCGAGUAAUUAUACUACCUUUAACAGCAGUAACCGUCCCACACGGUGUAACAUCAUUUGUACACGUUGUAACACUAGAACAACAGCGAAUAAUUAUACUACCUUUAACAGCAGUAACCGUCCCUGCCCCUUCUCCACUAAUUACAUAGUCCAUGAUACUACAUUGGAUCGGUCUAGUAACAUGAUACGUAAGUCUUAUAUUGCAAUCCAAUUCUGAACAAAACACACUAUCUACAACUAGUUGUUUAGAUGGUGAGAAUUGCAAUGCACAAAACUAUACACAAGUAGUUCUAAGAUUAGUCAAACAGCACCAUAAGUGGCAGGAAAUAUAAAUCAGAUGCACAUUGCACCACUUAUCAAAAAAUUGUCCACAAAAGCUAGCAUUGCUUCAGUAUUGCUGGGGGCUAAGAAGACUAGUACCUAAACUACUUCAGAUACCAAAAGCAAGGAUUGCGGGGAACCUUUAGCUCUCUCAAAACAUCAUAGAGAAACUGCUGGUAAUAGUGUUAGAGGCCACUAUUGCAGCAGUAUUAAUGCUAACAGAAGUUUCGGCUUGAGAUUCACCAUUUAGAGUAGCUUGAGCAUUUGGUACAAAGGGAAUUAUACCUUGCUUGUUUACAGCAGCAUUGGUUUUCCAACAUUUCCCCGCUUAAAAAUUUGCCUGGUGUUGGUGGUUUUUGGGUAAUUUCUCACCUUUUGAUUAGGACAACCUGUCACAUCCUACUGCCAGGGGUGCUAAGUAUGAUUUCAAAAAUAUGGGGGGUACUAGAUAUGAUUAGAAGAAACCUCAGGGGAGGUUUCUGAUAUUUACCCUAAAAUCAUUACAUAACUUAGUGAGGCACGUGCGUUCAUUAUUUUGAGCAAAUGGUCAGGAUAACUGAAGUUUCAAAUGUUGGUCAGGAUCCAUCUUAGUGACACUUUUAAACCACAUUUUUCUUCCAAUUUUUCUUUUCCUAAAUAUAGAUAGGAUGGUCACCCAUAAACAGAACUUCAAAGGCAGGUCGCACAGAUGGUAGUUAAAGGAGCUUAAACCUCUUGAACAAGGAAAACGGUAAAACUCAAAAAAUGAAACCUAACUCUUUCAAUUUUCAAGUUUUAGAUUUUAAAUUUUAAUUUUAUCAAGUGCACCCUAAACUUUGUACCCUCCUUUCCUUCUCAUUCCUUGUGUUAGAAGACAUGUAAGAGGUUAAGUACCAAUAUGACAAAGUUCUGUAUCACCCACACAUGAUAUUGCAUCACCCGCUGAGCACGGAACCAGUCAUAUCACAACACGGAAAUGAACAAAUGGUAAGAAUAGAAAGAGCUAAUUGAUAUACUACUAGUCGUUAGUAACAGCAUAGAAAUGGUAAGUUAAUGAAAGUGAACUCAAGCAAUAAAGCAUUAUCUAGUGGAACACAGAAGAUUAUCCAAGUCAGAAAUUUCACACAUGGUGCAAACAUUUUAGUAAACAUUUCCUUCAUGACUUGAAGGUGUUCGUUCAUAUAACCCUUUCGUGUGGCAUUUAUGAGAUUAAAAUGGCCACCUUUUGUCUUGUUAUAAAGCUUUGGAUUUGAUUAGUCAAGUCCUAAAAUGUACAAAUGAGAAACAUCUAAGAUCAUCUACUGUUGAAUUCUUUUAUUGUUCGCUACCUAAUGCAUUUUGGUAUUUGGAACCAGGUGAAGAAGGCCGUCGAGCCACCCUUGGAGGUUCCUUAGAAUUUGCCAACUUGUUUAAAGUAAAGGUACAUGGUUUAUACAUCUGAUUUAAUUUACUAUUUUUGCUUAUAUUCAGAUUUAUUAUCCCAUUUGCAUUUUUAGACACAUUUUAGAUUUAGUUUCACCUUUCUUAAUAAACAAUACCUACGACUCCUUUUAACCUACUUGCUGAAGGACCUUAUAAGGACAUGUUGUCUCGAUUGAUUCUCACAUCUGUACGUAUCUAUGUCUUGCUUGAUCUACUUUCUGUCAUUAUUGCACAGAUUAUUAUCCUUUUCAUUCAAAUAAACCCUAUAAAACAGAUGCCCCGUACUGGAUAAAUGGAUAUCAGGCAAGGCCGACAGGUGAUUUUGGAGCUAAAUAAAUAUGGUUAAUAAAGACCUUGAAUUUUAUGAUUGCUUGACAAAAGCAUCAUGUUGGUUUCUUGUCUGAUCGACAAAUGCAGACUCCAACAAGUCACGCCUUGAUUAAAACAGGAAAGAAGAUGAUAAUGUCAUUCUAUAAUUUAAUCCUUAAUCAGAAAAUCCAAUAAAACGUCUGCCCAACUCUUAUCAAAAUAAUAAUAAGUAUUAACUAUUACAAUUUCCUAACAACUUAAACUAUAUAUUUGCAUAUAGCUAAUAUUACAAAUCACUGUAUAAAAAUAAUAGAGCCCCAAGAGUCCAAUUCUUUGUCCACAAGGAGCGGAAUUUUGAAGAGCAAAUGCGCAAAUUUAUACGCACUGAAGGAUUUUGCUCUAAAUACCUGAUCUCUACUACUUUAAACGAACUCCUUUUAGUGGCAUAAUGCAAUGAAAGAUUAGAUAGAAUGAGCAUUAAUUAGUUAGAUGUUGAACUUGAAAGAAUACCAUUUUGGUCUCCAGGUUUAGAAGUCCUGGUUCUAAUCUUCCUUCCCCUUUCUUUCUUAAAUCUGUCCUUUCGCUGCUUAAAAAAAUAUGAAAAAAAAAAACUUGCAAGAUGACCAGCACAUUAUACUUCCUUUGGGAGCUAACCUUGUGUUUAAUAUUUUCAAAGUGCCAAUUUGGCAAUUGAGCAGGUUGAGCAGUUUUUGGGUUGAUUAGUGCUCGGUUUUCAUUUGGAUGGAUUAUAUCCAUCCCGCACAACUACAAAUUAGGUUGAUGUUAGAUUGUGUCAUAUUAGGUCAAUUCAAACCCAUGACCGAAUUGUAAUCCAACAUAUUAUUUCAUAUAUUUUGAUACAUAAUACUCUCUUAAACACAUUUACACAUAUAAAAUGAUUUUUUUUUUACAUAUAUAAACACAGUUUCACAUGCAUAAACAUAUUUUCACAUACCAAAAUACUUUCACACAUACAAAUACACACUCACUUCUUAAGUUCCUUGGAUGGUAACACAUUAUUUUCACACAUGCAUACACACUAAAACAUACACUAACAUACUUUCACACAGACAAACAUACACAUGCUAACUUUUUACACUACUUGGAUGGACAAAUUAAGUGCAGAAAAUCCUUUUGAAAAAGAAAAUCAAAUCAUGUAAAAAUGCAAUUAAAGGAAUCACCAAAUUGAACUCAAGAAUUGUAGAAUUCAAGUAAAUGGAGUCAACAGGUGUUUUUCUUUUCAUUGAGCAACAUCUAAAUCGAUUCUGGGCAGUAAAGACAUUUUAUUCUAGUUGAUGAAACAGAGGUUACGCACAUUUGGUGUCCAGAAAAGGAUAGAAUUGCAAAAUACAAUUUAAUUUUACCAAGUUAUAGUGUUGAAAAUGUUGACAGCUGUUCCAAUGCCUGGGACAAACACAAUCAAUUUGGAUGCAACCUGGGGCAACGCAUGUACAAAAAAUCAACACAAGUAAAUUAUUUGAGCCGCAAAAUAUUGAAAUUGGAAUUGGAUCCGAACUGCCAAUUUUCUCAAAUCAUUCACAACGGGUGACCAUUUUGCAAUUUAUGCUAAAUAUUAUGCUAUGAAAACUCCAAUUACUAUAAAAAAAAAUGCUAUUAGUGGCACUGGCUCUUCAAGCAAUCCCCAAAGUUUGAUGGAUUAUUUCUUCCAGUGAUGGCGGGCAAGUAAAUAACUAAUUAGUAGUAGUCACCCAGAAAUCAUACUCUCUCGUGUUUUCAUGGGUACUAAGUUUGUAACCCCAUAAAAUUGAUUAAUGAAUACAAAUAUCACCUAUGUUCUUGUGGGAGCUUAUUAGAAACUUCUUAUAGUUGGACAACUAUGUACAUUUGGUUGAAAUAAUCCUCAAUUAGUCAACCUGUAAUUUGCAGAGAUUAUUAACAUAAAAUAAAACUUCUUAACUUGUAAUUAGUCAACCUGUAAAGUGGGAAGAUGUCUGUAGACCAAAGAAGGAUGGUGGAUUAGCAGUGCAGAACAUAGCUAACUGGAAUAAAUAUCUAAUCUUUGAGCUCAUUUGGAAUCUCUGUCAAAAAAAAAAAAAAAAGAUUCUUUAUGGGUUAGAUGGUUGCAUUCUGUGAUGUUGAAAGGGCAGUCUAUGGGAAGUGAAAAUUCCCGCUAAUUUUUCAUGGUAUUGGAGAAAGUUGUUACAACUUAGGCACUUUGCUCAGUCAUGGAUUAAAAGUGACAUUGGUGAUGGUAAGAGCAAGUUUUUCUGGUUUGAUAAUUGGCAUGCACAUGAGCCAUUAUAAGAUUUCGGAUUGUCUGUUGCAUCUAAGGUAAGCGAUCUGGUGAAGGAUGGAAGGUGGCCUGGCCCAAGGAAAGGAGGUUUAAUGUAAUAACGCAGCAGUUUCAGGAGUCUACUCCUAAUUCUAUUUUACAGCAAAUGCACGGAGAGGAUCAUAUGAAGGUCUUUUCUGUUAAAUCUGCUUUGAAGAAACUCUAUCUAGUUGACAGAAAAGUGAAAUGGAAUUCUUUAGUUUGGGAAAAGGUUUUGUUCUCAAGUAUGCUUUUAUUUUGAGGUUGAUAAUACAGCAAAGUUGAUGACUAAAAAUAGGCCUAUCAAGGGUCUGUUUGUUUUGACUGAAUAGAUUUUCCAGAAAAUAUUUUCUGUGAUUUCUGCUAUUUGGUUCAAUUUAGCGCUGAGAAAAUGAUUUCUCUUGUAAAAUCUUUUCCCUAAGUGGGUGUAAAAUAACUUCACUUAUAAACUUAUUGAAGUUAUUUUCGACUCUCUGAUCCUGUCCCUUUUGUCCUAAGUUACAUUCAUCAACAUAAGAAGUAAAAGGCCAUAGGAAAUAGUUUCGGUGGGAUUGUCCGAUAUCUCUCGACAAAACAUCAUCGAUUCCUCUAUUCAUUCCAUGUUAUUCCUUCCCUCACAGAAACACAAUCCAACCUAUCGCACAUCCCAUUGCAUCUGCGUCGGACUUACAGAAACAAUUAAGAACUGCAGAAAUAUGGAGGAUCUAGAGAGACAAAACAAGGAGAUUGGCAGCAUAAAGAAAGAAGAGAUUUCAGAGGAACUUUUACAGAAGGAAGAAAGUCUUUUAAGAUUGGCCACGGAGGAGAAAGGUGAACUAAUUCUAUAUAUCACCAACAAUGUCCAGCUUUUGCUUUGGAAAUUUCAAUCCGAGAUCUUCUAGAUCUUUGAAAGAAUUUUAGCGGUAAAAAAUAUUCUUGUGAGAGUUGGUUUUAUUUCAUUGUCAUCUUCAAUGUCUUAUGACUGAUUAUGGUUGAGUUGGAAAACUAAUAUUGAUCAUUCAUUUGUCUAUUGCUUUAAUCUCUUCUUGGUCAAAGAAUGAUGGCAGGAGUAGUGUAUGUGAUGGAGGAAAGUUUUUUGUGGUGAAGACGAAAGAGAAAUGGCGGAGCCAGCCGAUGGGAGAGAAUUUCUUGAUAGGGUGAGGAAUUGAAUUAAUUACUCAUGAGGACAAAUGUUUUCCAAAAGUAACCAAACAAAUGAAAAUUAGAAAGAAAACAAAACUUUUUCCAAAAAAAACGGCUUCCAAUGAAAUUAUUUUCCCAAAGAAAAUAUUUUACGUCCUACCAAACAGACCCCAAGUGGAGUGUAACUGAUACACUUCCUAGAUGUGUGUUAUGUGAUCAAGAGGAUGAAUCUGUUAAACAUCUAUUUUUUGAGUGUUCCUUCUCCAGGUGUGUGGGAAAAAGUGCAUAGAUUGUGCUUGCUAUAUAGGGGGUGCUGACUGUUAAGAAUUUGUAAUCACUACAACUAUAGAAAAUAGCUUUGGCGCGAAAAUUCACUUUUCUUAAGCAAGUUUGCCCCCACUAUUCUACUACCAGGUUUGCGGCAAUUCCCUCCAAGAAUAACAAAGUCCAUCAGAAUUUUUACACAAUAGUAUGCAAAAAUUCUCCCUAGAACGGUUUUAGAGAACAUCAUUUUGAAAGAAAUAGAAGAAUAGUAAAACUAAAAGUAAAAAGUGAGUUUUCUGAUACAUGGACAUCCUUAUUUAUAACGUUCAGAUACCCCAAACGAAAUGUCAUGUCCUUUUAAAAUGAAUGGAUACUUAACAGACAUUUAAGAGUUGUAUCAUUAGACACAAUUGCUAAAAGAAUACCGUUUAGUUAAGAAGAAAUAUUAAAAUGAAAUUAAUUAAAAUUAAUUUCAGUUCUUAAGACCCAAGUGCCAAUCUUUUGACCAAUAAAUUUAUAUUCUAAUUUAAUAGUCAACGUGACAAAUGUACGUGCAAAUUUGAAGUCUCCCUUCAAAAUUUCCCGCCAUCCAAACUUAUUUGAAUAGGUGUGGACUUAAUUAUAAACCUCUUCCAUUCGUCACACACUUUCAAUAUGGAACUCAUUACUAACUAUUUCCUACACUGACCUCGGAACAAGAAUUAGAUUGGUGGUGUCACCAUGGUGGUUCCAACUCCUUUGCUGCUAAGAUCGGAACUCUCUUCAGCUGUCAUUGUUUGGCAGCCUUGAUAGGAGAGGAAUAGAAGGAUCUUCCAACAUGUUGCUCCGUGCACAAGUCCUUACAUCCAUCAGUAGAAUGGUCCAAAUGGUGAUUAUUUCAUGGCCUAAAUCUCCUCGAACACAAGCGAAUUGGCAGUUGAUGAUUGAACCAGGUUCUCAAUGGAGUGCGUGGUCUAUUAGUUGCAGUAGUAGCUAAAAAUAGACAAACUGGUGUGUAGUGUAGAUCACUGCAGUAUCUCAGAUGUAGUAGGAGUUCUUUCUCCAUUGUACAGUUAAAUUGCAUAUCAAUAAAAUAAUUCGUUUUUUGCCUAAAAAAAAAAAACUUGCUUACACCUUAGGAACAGAUCGACUACAUAUAUUUGAAAUGGAACUUGGGAGACCAGAUUCCUGCGAAAGACAAGAAUAAUUUACGGCUUCAUUUUCUACAUUUGUUUAUCAACUUAGACUUUUAAUAAAGAAACAAGGGGAAAGAGUAAAAUCAAAGAAAAUUUAUGUGUAUAUGUUUUUAUUACUUAUUCUUUCUUUUUUUUGGUAAAACAAGUAUAUACAUUUCCUACAUAGUAUCCGAAUUGCUAAACACAAUACGCGACAGAUAUUAUCUAAAUUAGGUCGAACAAAACAUAUCAAUAAACUUGUCGCUAGUUGUAAGCUCAGCAGAAAUGUGAUGUUGUUGACCUUUUUUUGUGAACAAAUGUGGUGUUGUUGACCUGGAAAAUAAAGCUGGUCUUGUCCCAAAGUGAAAAGGAUAACAUUUAAUUUUCCUAUAAGGAAUUUGAAGAUUAACCUUGUUUUGUACAGCUAGAAUGAAAACAAAAGUGCUGAGGAUCUGUUUUCUUCUAAGGUUUGCUGCCAAGUGUUAAGUAAAAGAAAGUACAGAGCAGGCAGUUCCUGAAGGUUAGUAAUCAAAUGGAUCCAAGAAAUGGUGGAAAUAUAUAGAAAAGAAAUCUUCAACUGAGGCAAGUUUCUUAUUAGUCAACACUGAGCAUGUGGCAUGAUAUAAAUCAUGGAAUAAGUUCAACAUUUUUAGUUGUUUUAUGUAGGAGAAAAAACAGGUAGAUGAUGGACAAUGACAAGAAGACAAAUCAAAGUAUACAAGCAACAAGAAAGGUGUUGAUCUGAAAUUCAAGAAACAUUCAAUGUUUGACGAAAUUAAUUUCUUGCGUGUACGGUGUGCUUAAUUAGUAAUGGUAAGUAGCGGUCAUGAUGUUUACUAUGGGAUAUUCACAAAAUACUUAGAUAUUUAUUCACUAAAUCAAUUUAUUAUCCACUGAGUGACAAAUGAUGCAAUAAAUUUUGGCUAGGAUAAGCAAAUUAUCGUGGUAGCAACACCAAUAUACAUUUUCUGUAUUUUUACUCUCACACCCUAUCUAUCUUCAACUGCUAGACAUAAAAUUCAAAUUCUUAAACUCUAAACUUGACAGUGAUGAGGAUUUUAAGAAUCCUUUCCUAAUCAUUAAGCCAACCCCAAUGAUUUUACAAAAGUUUCAUUCAAGGCCAUCUUCAUAUUUUUUUGUGUGCUUAAAGUUAUUUUACAUCUAUCGUUUUUGCAUUUUUAAUCGGAAUGCUUUCAAGAUUCAGUCAUUCAGAACAUUGACUCAAAUCGCCGGUCGCCACUAGAAAGACUUGAAAAGUCAAGUCUCUUGGCCGGGCAAGACACGAGCAAACUGGCAUAACUAGAUGACGGCUAGUUUGACUGCGACAUGUAUGAUCAACUUGUUAUUAAUUUAUAGCUUGUGCCUGCAGUUGUCUUCAUUUUUUUUUUUUUUUGGCUCGAAGUUCCAACUGAACUGGGUACUACGGAAAAUAAGAAUGAGACUGUAAGACAUGUUUGUAUUGUUGCCAGCACUAGACGUAUUUCAGCCAACAUCCAUGGUGACAGUGAUGGAGUCGGGACUUAUGGUCAGUAGCGGCAAUAUUAUCUACAUAAAAUGAUGUCGUUAUUAUGCAAAGAGAAUUUUAAUUAAAGAUAAUCUUUUUAUUAUGAGUUUUUUGUGUUGAGAAAUUAUUGAAUUUAUUUCUUAUUCAAGUAGUAAACAAUUUUAUGUUUUAAUAGCUUUAAAACAUUUGUAUUGUGGGAGAGAUGUUUCAAAAAUUGGUUGGUUAAGAAGAUAAUGUAAAGGGAAUGAGGAUUUCUCAAGGGGCAAUGUAAAGGAAAAACUUGUACUUUUCAAAAUGGGAAAUUUGUCAAAUUGGUUCCUAACUUUUUUAGUCUCUAACAUUUAAAAUCAAUUAGAAUAACCCCUAACAUAUAAAUUAUGAGCCAAUUUGGUUCUAAUGCUCGUAUUUACCCAUUUCUCCGGUAAAAAAUAGCACGUCUCUCUCAUGUGAGUAUAAUUUCAAGGGCAAAACUGGAAAACACACUUCGUUUCUGGUUUCCAUCUUUCUUUCAUAUUUCCCCAAUUAAACCCUAAUUGUCUCGCAUCAAAACCAAAAUUGAAGAGGAAAAAAGCAGCUGCAACUGGAUGACUGUGCAAUUGAGCAAGAAUAACAAAAAAAUGCAAAGAAACUAACCUAUUGAAGAGUACAAUGGAUCUGAACAACAAACGAUAUCUUUGUGAAAAGGAACGCAUUAUUGGGAAUUCUUGGAAACCUAUAAAUCCGGGAAGAAGAUUCUAUACCUGCCCAAAUUAUAAAGUAAGUUUUCUAAGCAUUCUCAUGUUCAUCCGGGGGAGCGAAGUAUGUUUUUCAAUUUUACCCUUGAAAUUAUGUUCAUGUGAGAGAGGCAUGCCAUUUUUAGCCAAAGAAAUGAGCAACUACGAGCAUUAGAACCAAACCGACUCAUAAUUUAUAUAUUAGGGACUAUUCUAUCUGAUUGUAAAUGUUAUGGAUUAAAAAAAAAAUUUUUGAAAAUGUCGGGGACCAAUUUGGUAAAUUUUCCUUUCAAAAUUGAGGGGAUGCAGUUAUGACAAAAACAUAAAUAUUUUUAAUAUUUUCAAGGCUACUCUUUAAAUUUUGUAAAGUUGAGAGGAAGGGAGGGCAAUUGACCACCCUCAACAUGGUGGGGCUCCGCCACUACAGGGUGGUGCCAACCAACGCUGAACAUCUUUUUCUCCAGAGAAACAAUUAAUUAGUACUCCAUCUCGCAAUUAGCAGAUGGAUGCUUCCUAGUAAAGUGAGUACAUAUACAAAAAGAAACUCGGAAAACAGCAUCCCCAUGUGUCUUAGCGUUUAAGGUUGGUAAAAUGAAGGUUUCAGCAAGUUAUACAUUUUUUGUUGAAAGAAAUUAAUUAAGUUGAAAAAGCUUUCUUUUUUUCAAAAAAAAAAAAAUUUGUUGGUGCAUGUGUGCGUGUUAUAUUUUUUUAUUAUUUAUUUUUGGUGGAGGCUGGGGGUCGGCACGGUCACUAGCCCUUGUAACACGUAGAAAUUUCUUUCAAGCCAAAUAGCCAAAGCAAAUUGAACAAGAGAUUAUUUGAAAUAUUAUUUAAAAUAAUUACAUAUAACACUUUGCUAUAUAAUGUAUAUCUGAUAAAAAAAAAAGUGAUUAAAAAGAUUUAAAAAAUGUAUCAAAAAAUGUAUUGGUGAUUCAAACAAAUAAUUUUAAAUUAAUAUUUCAUAUACUGACAAUGUAUACAGUAGUUUCGCCAUAUAUAACACAGAAUCUGAAUUUAAAUUUGAAAUUCAAAUUUUACAUAUACAUCGUACAUCCAACCGUGAUAAUUUAUAGCGCAUAUAAGAUUUACUCAAUAAUUUUUUACGAUUAAUUCCUAUCCAAACCCGCAUUCAACCGUUGCGCUCAGCUACCUGAAACGACAGCAAAAGUACAAUUAAUACUAUGGAAAACAUAGACCGAUUCCCAAAUGCCAGGUCAGUUAGCCGUGACUUAAGGGCCUUAGGGGCUAAGGUUGCAAUGUGGGCAGAAAUCAAAUGCUUGCCUUUCCCCACAUGUUCCGUAAAGCCAACUCAACUUUAGGAAAAAUAUCAAAGCAAUUUAAGCAAAAGAAUAAAGACAUGAAAAGGGCAAAAAAGAAGAAAAGAAAAGCUAAUUGCGUUAAUAUAUAAAGAAGAGGUCAAUGCCAUAAAGCAAUGACUCACUAUCAUCAUUGAAUGUCCAAUACAGAAAAACAAAAAGGCAGUAGUAGCUGUUCAAAUCAUCCUCUGGUCCACCUUUUUAAAACUUUUCUUCCCAAGUAAGCAUCCCUAUUAAAGAAUUACGGGCUGAUCUAAAGAAGGCAACAAGAGAGCCCUAGCAGGCCAAGUACUACAGAUAAAAAUAUCACCAAGCAGUUGAGUGAAGACAUCAGAGAGUAUGCAAUCACCUUGCUUCAAGGCAGCUGAACGAGUAUGCCUGUACGGUUGCUGCACCAGUCCUCUACUUGUUACCAGUGAGGACCAGGAGCCCCAAAAGACGAGCUCCAAGUCCAAAAGCACAUUGGCUAGUUGCCGGCAAGGCUUUGCUGCCAUAACUGCUUCCACUUUCUUCCCAAACACACACUUCACCAACCAUGAAAAUCUCCCC